UUUUUUUUGAAACACCUGACCCCAGAGUAUAUCAGAUCCGCCACAAAUACAGGAAAUCCACUGUUCACACGGACAGAGUCUCCCCUGUAUUUGCACGGCGUCGCACAAGUACAUUAACUCAACCAGAGUACAACCACAACCAUAUGAACAUACAACGACCACACAUACAUACGUCCAUACAUUCACCAUUCACAACAUAACCAUAUCCAUAAUAUUAAACAUAAAUCCAGAUCUAUCAUUUGAAACGUUUCCUUCCCGGAAACAAGUUUUGAAAUACUAAGUCUCAGAAAUCCAUUGAAAGCUCCUUUUAAAACUGUUUUCCACACGGAAACCUUUAUCUUUUAAAACGCUACCACGAGGGGUAGAUAACUAUCGAAAACUGUGUCGCAUAUGAAAAUCCUUUUCUUUUUAAAACAAGCGCUACCACGAGGGGUAGAAAACCAUUUUACUUUGAAAAGCCCAUAAAUCUCUUUUUAUCACAAUACGUAAAGCCAGCGGAAAAACCAAUUACUCAAGUACAGAAUGAAACUGAACCAUAAUAAAAGUUUACUAUUUAUUCAAGCAAGGGAAAAGAGAUAAUCAAACGGGACGGAGCUCUAACGCGCGCUAGACUCGCUCCUCACCUGCCGUCCCACUCGGACCUGCGACGUCACCUGUAAUGGGGGCGGGGGGUGAGAACAUGUAAACAUGUCUCCCCUCCCAGGGCGAGGGGGGCGAGGGUACGCACCAGCAAAGGAGGCUAAACAACAGUAAGGGUAAACAACUACAGCAGCUACUAUGAUAUAAGAACAGAAAGUACAAGGAACUAAUGUACAAGUAAUGAACUACUGCUACUGUAUGUAUGCAUCAACUGGUGGAUAGUCCAAGGAUACCCAAUCUAAACCUGCCUUGUUGGUCCGGAGACCUCAGGCUAAUGCCACAAUCACUCAACCUGCAUAUACCCAGUCGUAACCUCUGAGCUCACGGGUGGACAAGCCCAACCACUUUUCCGGAAAAGAACACCCCCUGCGGUGGAUCAGACCGCUGGCGUUCGUGAAACGUGAACGAGUGGUGACGAUCGAUGCUGAGAUGCUCAAUAGCCAACCGUCGGCAACCAGCCGACAAUCACUGCCCCUCUGGGCAAACCGACCGUAUAGGUCAUCAAGUACAACGUGAACCGACUGAGAUAGGUCAAUGUACGUAAAGUAACGAACGACCAAACAGGUCACCGAUGCAACAGGAGAACCGACCAAGCGGGUCACAUGUAUAGUAUAUACUAAUGCCAUCUACUCCACCCCUACACAGAAUACUACGCAUAGGACAACCGGGCAGAGUAAAUAAAGACAGUAUGGUGCAAGGCUCAAUAUGUAAAGAGUAAGCAAUAUGACUAGACGAUGUAAAAGAUAGGGUAAAGGAAGACAUCACCGAGCGUGCACCACUGUACCGACUUCGGAUCGAAGUACCCACCUGUAUAAAGCUGAAACGGUCUCGCGAAGGCGGAGACGAAGCGACCGGACCUACGAAGGGUCCACCGGGUUAGAGUCUAACCCACAAACACAAUAACACGACCAUUCUCACACAAAUCCCAAAAUCAUAACCCCUCGAAAAUCGGUUUCUCAAACGCAACUACUGAACCAGCCGGAAGUCCCGAAAACCGUACCGAAACUCCACCGUCGCUCACCCGUCGUUUCCAAACCCUCGAGAAGAUGCGGGUGACCAGCCAACAAGGCUCAGCGACGCUACAAUUAACCACGAGGCACCGUCGGAUGAAUUCCGAGUCGAAAACGCGUUCUAUCGGCGGAUUUCGUCGAAAAAACGCUCACGGAAAUGGCGAUAUGAAUUUCCGCAGUAUUAUUGGGCGUCUUGACGAUCAGUCCAGAAGUUGUCCUGACCCCUAACUCUGCUGCCGAACAGCAGCCACGACGAAGCGAGAAUGCAGAAAGAUACCUCUAACGGAACAUGUAAAUCAAUAUUGUUUGUGAUUUCCAUGCUCCAAGGGUCGUCACCAGCAAACCAGGGAUUACGGAAGGGAUGCCAUCGACACCUUGUUUUGCUAGGUUUCAGCAUGCCUGGGGCCGUGAAUACCUUUCGGAGCACUGCCGGGGCCAACAACUCGCCGCGCUACCGAGCGAGGCGCGAACACAGCGAACCGAGCGCGCAUCAGCGCGAAGAUCACAACAUUACCAACUAACCAGGCACGUAACCUAACAAUGGAGUGAGCAUACAUGUUAGCACGACCCCACGAUCUCGUGCUGCACGCUCGCGCGAGUGCCAGGAGUCAUCGGAUCACUCGAAAAAGUGAUCGAACACAAAACGUAUGCUGGAAACCGAUAAAUGGCUAUACAGCCCGAGAGCAAGUGGAGCUAUGGAUGGCCGGCCGCGGAUUCGGCGCGGCGCUCCGGCCCGGAGUCUGGAGCAGCCGACGGUAAAAGUCCGGGGGAGGUGCUGGUGCCGCCGGCGAGGCAGCAGCCGGUGGCGGCGGCGGGGAGGAUCGGCGCCGCAGACGUUCCCAGCUCGGGUUGGAGGCUUGCCGCCGGCGAGGCGCGCGCCGGGGGAGGUCGAGGCGGCCGAUGCAUUCGUGCCGGAGACCGAGAGGAGUGGUGCUCGGCUAACAAGCCCUCUCCAGCACAAGGCUAGCCGGUGAUGAGGUGGUCCAAGAGAGGAGGAAAAUUGGCUGCGCUUGUUUCCGGCCGGGCCGGGGCUGCUCGGCGGCGGCCGGAACGCGAGCACUGGCGGGGGCAGGGAGGUGCCUGGCCGUGACAGGGGCGGGCCUGGGGUCAAGCUGGGGGGUUCUAGGUUGGUUAGCAGUUCACGAGAACCCUAGGUCAACGCUAUAUAUGGUCGCUCACAGCGACUGUCUUGUGGCGAAAAACCCCUGUCAAGGACUGAAACCUGUUUAAACCAGACUCCCUGGGCCAGCACGAGUGCUUUAAUGCACCGACAGUGACCGCUCCGAGUUCGAAAACUCGCAAAUCGACUGCAUAAAAUAUCGGUCUUUUCUCGCGAAAUAAUCCGAUUAACUCAAUCAUCGCCUUGCGAAUACUUUUGUCGAGUUCCGAAGAUUUCCGUACCGUCGGGAUUUCCGAUCGUAUCAUCAGCAGCGCGAUCAGCACGAAGCCAGCAUGGCACGAAUCUCGCAUCUCAUUUCGGACAUUCCGAAAUUAGGGUUCCCAAGUUGCGGACACGAAUCACAUCUCCUAUGUUGCCAAAAGACAAAAAUCAUAUAGACAAACUAUAUGUUAGAAACGCAUUUAAACCCUUUUCUUCUAAAACCUACGUGGCAUCAAUUUCAAUUCCGUCAGUGCCAUUGGGUCCGUAUAGUGAGGCGGUUGAAAACGAGCUAUUGGAAGGCUAUAUUCGGAGUCCGAUACGCGUCGAAAGUCCACUCUACUCCGCGGCCUCUCCGAAAAAUCGGAGUUACUAUUCACUUAAGUCAAACUUCCGGGUCGCGUAACUUCUCCGUUUUAACUCGUUUUCUCCUGAAAUUUGACGAGUACACUUAUAAUUAUAUUACACACAAGAACAUCGUCAAACAAAAGGGUUUAAUCAAUAAAUCAAAAAUCUCAGUUAUUACAUGUAAUUUCUAAUUUCUAUAAGGAAGAAUCCAAAACCUCUAUAAAUGAGUGAAGGAUCACUCCAUAAUCAACAAUAGGUUCGCCAUCAAAAUCUAGAUCCAAAAAUUUAAGAAGCUUAAUUAUCCAAAAAUCUGAGCUAAACUCACAUUCCAAGUUGCAAUUCAGGUGAUAGACAGGUUCAAAACCAGUGGAGGAUUUCAAAAAUCCAGCUCCCAAGGCAUUCGAAUCCAAAAACAUUAAGAAAAUCUCAAUCUCAGCUCAACAACACCAAAAUCCUAAGAAAACAACAAUUUGAUCAUACUAACCUCAAUUGCUUGCUGUUAAAUUGGUUCCACACACUCUCCAACAAGUCCACAAUCCACAAAAUCCUUCUUCACAGCAAUUGGAGGCUCCCACAAAGCACACUUCCAAACACUAUCCAAAUUGCUGCUGGAAAUUUGCAGAAAUUCCAAGUCCUCAAUGCCAAAAGUAAAUAUUUGAAGGAUUGGAGGGGUUAAAAUGCAAAAUUACAAUCUCUCUGUGAAGAAGAGAUGAAAAGAACUCUCAGUUGACGUCCAAAUCUUUUUAUAGAAGUAUAGGCUAUGUGCAAUAAGCCUCAAGAACAACCUUUGCUAACCUAUACUGCUACAGGAAACCCCAGAUUCGGGCGCCCAGAACCCAGAACUGGGCACCCAGAACUUCCAACUUGCAUAACUCAGUCCUUUGGGUUCUCAGUCCGGCGGUCUAGUGCGCCCUAAUGUGGUCCGGUGGACCUCACCUACCACAGCACAUGUGUCAAAAGGAUCGACAUUCACGAAGUGAACUUUCGGGCCCAACUUCCGGAUGCCUUAAAUAGGGCAUGAAAUGACUUCAGUAUCUAAUACAAAACAACCCUCAGGAUCUUGGCGCCCUAAACCACUUCUGGAUGCCCUAAACCGCCAGAACUUCAGUUUUGGCUUAUUUCAGUGCGUUGAAUCAGUUUUCGCAUCCAUUUCGUGCUAAAACGACUCCGACUCGUCCCGACAUUCUACAGAUGUGUCGACUAGUCGCUGAUACUGUAGUCAUUCCGAUCGCUAAAUCCCAGGGAUACUACAACCGCAUUAUGCGAGUCCCUAUAGUAGUUAUUUAUAAUUAGAUAUAACUAGCAACAAAUUUGUUUAAAACUCUUAAUCAACUUAUUUUUUAUAUAAUACAAUAAUUUAUAGUUACAAAAAUAAUAUUGACAAUUUUAAAAAAACAUCCAUAAUAUUAUGAUGUUGAGCAAUCAAGGGGCAUGCUUGAAAUUUCCUCAAAAUUGUAAUAAGGUAGAGAACUAACCAAACAAGCAAUGGAUAGUAUAUAAAUAUACAAAAACUUAAAUCCCUUGUUAUUAAAGAUGCUUAAAGAAAAUGGGAAUUGAAAAGCUAUAUGUUAUGAUGAUAUUCCGAAAUUUAGGGCAUGUUUGGUUGUCCGAAAGUGAUCAAAGUAAAAAAAAUCAUUUUUCAAAAAAUGACUUUUUAUAAAAGUUACUUUUGAGUUCAAGUGUUUGGUUUCAAAAAAGUGAAAGAAAAAAAUACAGUUUUUAUGACUUCUAUUAUUUGGUUCUAUAUAAGAAAAUGAAAAAAUAAAAUAAGGCACGUUUCUUUCUUUAUUUUUUUUAAAAAAUAUGUUGUUUUUUUUUUUUUAAGAUAUGGUGGUUUUUUUUAUUUUUUAUUUUUUGUAGAUGAUAUGGAAGAAGGCUUUUGGAUACAGUUCGUAAGUCGCGUGGAGGGAGGCGGCCUACUUUCAACGACUUCGAAAUUUUUUUUGCCAAAGUCAAAAAAGUGGAUUUUAGUUAUAAUCCACUUAAUGAUUCACUUUUCAAAAAUCACUUAUAUGUUUACUUUUAUAAUCCAAACAACCGAAAUAAUCCUAUUUCGUCAAAAUAUUACUUUUAUUGUUUCACUUACGGGCAACCAAACGUGACCUUAGAUGCUAAAAAGAAAAGAAAAAAUAUAUGAUAGAAAAGUAUGUAAGGACAACAUGACGAAAACAUAAUCAUGAGGGUACAAGAGUAAACCAUCUAAAGUCAAAGUACUAAGUUGUCACGCCCCGGGACCGCUACCCAUUUGGUCGGGUUCGGGCACGUCGAACAGACGCCGAACGGACAGCACCUUCCCUGUCCGCCCAAGACUCAAGCACGGGAUCAUGUACAAGAAUUCGCCCAGGAACAAUUCAAUACAUACAUGAUCCAUACAACGACAAUAGAAGCACCACAAGUGCAUAACAACAAGAGCAAGUAACACAAGUAUCUAUAUAAGUGCAUAAAAAGAGAGAGUUCUAUCUAUUACAUCAUGAUUUGAACAUUUAUACAAUUUACAUGUUUGUUUCAUCCAAAAUAUAGGUACAAGUUUAUUCACAUCUCUCCAAAAUGCAUCUCACAACCUAUACAUCAUCUACUCUCAUAUGUGUAGGCACCUCUAAUGCAACUGGAGGGAUACUAAUGCUAGGGCGCUAAGCCCUUACCGUGAUUCUCGCCCGGAGCACUCGUACUCGGCCCUGCAACAAAGUGGGGUGAGAACUAUUGUCCAUAGUUUCCAGUGGGUUCGGCAGCCGACUCCGCCGAUCUCCCCACUAGGUCCAAGUGGGCACAAACAGAUAGAUAGAUAGAUAGAUAUCAAAGCUAAAAAUACGAUAGUAGGAAAACUAUGCUACUAUGCCCAAUCAUCAAUAAUAUAUGCAUGCAUCAUAUAGUAAAUGGUUUACUAACAUGCCACUAUGUCCAAGAAGUAAUGUACUUUACUUGUUCAUCAAUUCUUUUGGCUUAUUCAAUCCUUGGCCAACCCUCAGGUUCGCCCACGACUCACAUGCAUCUCAUGGUAAGGAAACUCAACUCGUUCACAAACCCGAGACCGUCGCGGGACCCCAUAAGGAUAUCCCAGGGACCCCAUAAGGCUAUCCCUCAUGUGACAAAACUCCGGAGCGCACGCUUGUGUGGAGCGACCACCACUAGCUCUGAACAGACAGUGAGUAUGAUCCAAUCCUCUCAACUCGAGGAUACCCUAUCCACUAGGGCUAACAGUCACUCGGGAAUCCACCUAUCCCAAUGUCCAUAUGCAAGUGUUUAAUUUACACUAAGUUUUUAUUCAAUGACUCAUCACUAGGGAAUCCACCUAUCCCUAAGUUCACAUGUUAAGUGUCACUUUUACACUAAGUUAUAUGCCACUCGUUCUAUUGUCAUUGUUAUUUACAUGCCACUCGUUAUGUCUUAUCAACCAUCGAGUCCAUCUUUUAUCUCAGCACUAUAGGAUUCAAUGUCUCGACCCAAUCCUUAUCUAUCCACUAUAUCAAGUAUUCAACUCACACUAUGAUAUCAUCUAGGAAAGCAUAAGGAAAUGAAAAUGCACAUUUAUCCUACAAUGCAUAUAUACAAGAGAUGCAAGAUUUAAAAUACACUAAGACAUAAAGAGGAGCCUGGUUGCUUCGGGAUGACACCACCCACCUUCUGGCGUUGUCACAACUCUAGGAAUGAAGUUCGCCGAUUUUACGACGUCGUCUCGGCCUCCUAGGCACAAACAAAACUCGGAAAGUCCCUUUCGCCAAUAACUUUGCACCCGCUCGACGAAUCGUCGAACCGUCUUCGCCUACGCGUUUAAACACCUAGCAAUUAGGUUUACACUUGAUCAAUUUAGAUCAAUAGCCAACAAAUCACGAAACCCCAUUUUUGGAGCCCUAACUUGCAAUCAUGCAAGAAUCAAACUCUAAAUCCUCAAACUCAUGCAUAAAGCAUCUCCUUAGCAUGCUAGGGUUCUAUUUAAACCAAUUCUAGAGUAUAAAGUCCAAACCCUAGAAGUUCACCAUGAUUGAGCUUCAAGCUUACCUCCAAAAGCUAGCUCCAAGGUGUAGAGAAAGGAGAAGAAGAUGAAGAUCCUUCUCCUUGAUUGAUUCUCCGCCAAAACCCUUCUCUUCUUCACCUUCUAGAGAGAGAGGAAGAGAGUAUAGAGAGAGAGAGGGAGUUAGGUUUGUGUUUGGGGAAGAAAAUGAGAAGAGAGAGAGAGAGCUCACUCUCAUAUAGCCCCAACUCAUGCUACAAUUGCAUAAAAACCCCUCAACUUUGCCUUCAUGACACAGCCCAUCUUGGGCAAUUUCGGGCUACGGGGACCGGUCUCUCCCUACUAGGGACCGGUCCCUGAGGACCUCCCCAAAUCCACGCGUUCGGGAAUCGGUCCCUCUGGCCCGGGGACCGGUUGCAUCACGCAUCACCGCAACCACCAGCCGAUGGAACCGGUUUCUCCCUGCCAGGGACCGGUCCCCGAGAGCAAACCCGCGCAGACCAUAUUCGAGAACCGGUCCCUCCCGCCAGGGACCAGUCCCGGAGAGCAAAUCUGCCAAGUGCAGGUUUUUCACAUCAUUUGCUCUCGCAGACUCCAUUCCAAUGCACCUUUGGCCAUUUUGAUGCCUUCGGCUUUUUCGAAGCACACAAGUCGACAAUCAGUCGAUUUUAACCGAAGUCCAACUCUCGUAUUUCGAGAAUUUACUUCCUUACAUAAAUGAUUUUAUAAGCUUAUAAUAGAAAAUAACUAAAUAAAAUUAAGAAGCAAAACAAAAAAUAGUAUAAAAUCAGUUCGGUUUCGUUCGGAAUAAAUCCGCUGAUAUCUACUAAACUUAUUAGCGUAAAUGAAAAUAGAACAUCCACAUGGCAUUAUUGAUUUAUCACCUAUUUGGAUAAAAAAAAAACUAGUUUUUUUGAAAAACUUUGUUUUUCAGAUUUCAUAAAAGCUAGUGAUUUAGUUUUACAUUUCGUUUUUUCAGAAAAACCUACUAGUUUUCUAUAAAAUAUAAAAAAAUAAAUAAAAUAUGCUAAUUUUUUUCGAAACUGAAUAGGCGAAAACUAGAAAAAAAAAAGUUCAUGAAAAAUUUUCAUACUUUUCAGAGGAAAGCAAUUAGCCUCUCAAAGAUUAUAUGUCGAAAAAUUAUAAAAUUUAGUUUCUAAAUACUUUCAAUAGUGUAGAUCAAGUCUAACGGAGCCGAUCGUCAAUUUGGAAGCUACAUAAUUAAAAAUAACUUGGUAGCACGGAGGCCUCCGUGCUACCAAUAGUAUACCAGCCUAGCUUUAUAUAUAUAUAUAAGAUAAUCGUAUUGAUGAUAUUUUGAUGUAGGUUUAAAGUGAUCAUAGGUUUUUUUUUUAGAGAAAGAUAGCAUGCUAUCCGCUUCGUUUAUUUUCUUUAGAAAUAAACUUAUUUGGAAAUAUGAAUCAACUAAGAUUCAAAUUUGGAACUCGGGUAUCAACCACCAACUCUUUGCCACUUGCGUUAGGGACCGAUAAAAAUGAACCCAACAUUCAAAGAUUUUUCCAUAUAUCGUUUUUGGCAAAAUUUUAGGAAGAUAACAUAAGAAUUUCUUAGUUGUCCCUUGGCCAAUUUGUUCAUUGCAUAGUCCUUGAUGAUGAUGGUUUUAUCUUAUCUAUGUACAAAUCCGCAACGCGCACACUUGGUUAUUGACUAUAGAGUCCUAUAAAAUCACUGCUAAAGAGAGGAGACUAUCUCACUGCUUUCUCUCUUUUUCAUAAAGUACCCAGCCUUGUGAUAGUACAGUUGAAUAAAGAGAGAGAAAUUUUCUAUAAAAAGAUUCAUGAAAAAGAAAGUCAAAUUUUGUUUUGGAUGAUCGGAAUUACAAAUUAUUAAUCAAUACCACUAAAUUUGAUGUAGACUAAUUGAAAUGUUUAUAAACAAGAUUUCUGUAAGGUUUAAACCCUAAACUCUAAAAUCCUAAACCAUUACAAAAUUUAUCAAAGAGCCCCAAAAUGAAUGACCAAAAAUAAAUAACUUACACAAAAAAAAAGUUAAACAUUCUCAAUUGGAGAUCAAAAUUUUUAAAUGUUAUCUAAAAAAAAAACAACAAAUAUUCAGGCUAUUUGUAAAUGUGUAAACAAUCCAUAUAAGCCAAUAAAAAUUAUCUAUUCUUUUUUUUUUUUUUUAUAUUUCACCUACAGUUUCUAGUGCAAGUAACAAAACACUUGAUGAUUGGAAUCUGAAUUUCUAAAUUCGAUAUUUUAUUACUUUAUAUUUCCAAUUAGAUCCAUUUCUUUUAAAAAUAGGGCCCGAAAGCAUCCACAAAACAAUAAUAUAUAUAAAAAAAAAAAAGUAGAAAGUCGAUUUUAAGGGACCCAAAAUUUACAAAAUCCAAAGCUAAGAUCUUUAGGUGCUUGCUCAACCACUCUGUUAUCAAUGCAACCACUUAGCCCACCUCUUUUAAGCUAAUUAGUUUACAACUAUAGCUGCAACACGACGUAUAAUCUAUGGCCUUUCCUUUAGCUACUAUCUUAUCCCUAACAACUACUAGCCACAUCUUUUUCAAAGUACUUAAUUUUAAACAUUAAUAUUUUGCUAUUGCUAUUGUAUCCCUUUAUUUUGAGAUUGUAUCCUUUCUCACUUGGGUGUACCUUGUCCUUAGGCAGUAUUUGGUUGGGGAACAAGGGAGAAAUAAUCCUUGUUUUCCCCUUGUUCCUAAAGAAAAAUUUGCAUACCUAAGAUGUAACGACCGAGCCCACUAGCAAACGAAAAUUUGCGUACCUAAGAUGUAACGACCCAGCCCACUAGCAAUAAUAACUCGUUGGGCCCAACCACCGGCCCAAAAUACUUAAGCCCAGUUAUUAUUACAAGUGUCUAACUCUCUUAUAAACCCAAUGACAACCCCAUUUCCAUCCGAUGUGGGAUUAUACCCUGGCUCAGUCGAGACUCGCCACACAUGUCCAGCUGGUGAACCGGCUCUGAUACCAAAUGUAACGACCCACUAGCAAUAAUAACUCGUUGGGCCAAACCACCGGCCCAAAAUACUUAAGCCAGUUAUUCUUACAAGUAUCUAAGUCUCUUAUAAACCCAAUGACAAUCCCAUUCCCAUCCGAUGUGGGAUUAUUGGGGUGUCACAGACUCCCCCGUUAAGGUCCUGACGUCCUCGUCAGUCCAAUCACACACACAGCCCAAGAUCACCAGGCGAUGUGAGACUCGUCUCGCUAGCCCGUCAUCCAGACCCUGGCUCAGCCGAGACUCACCACACAUGUCCAGCUGGUUAGCCGGCUCUGAUACCAAAUAUAACGACCCAGCCAACUAACAAUAAUAACUCGUUGGGCCCAACCACUAGCCCAAAAUGCUUAAGCCUAGUUAUUAUUACUAGUGUCUAAGUCUCUUAUAAACCCAAUGACAAUUCCAUUCCCAUCCGGUGUGGGAUUAUUGGAGUGUCACAUAAGAAUAAUAGUUAUUGGAUUUUUGAAAUAAAUUGAUAUAACUCAGUACAAAGCUAGAACAGCCGUUCCACCUUUUUUUGGAACAAGCUUGUUCCCAAGUGGAAAAAAGAUUAAUUAAAGCCUAAAUUUAAUUAUAAUUAUGAUAUUAAAUCAUUAAUUAAUUUAAUUUAUAUAUUGAAAUUAUUAUUUAUUGCUUAAAUAAUAAAGUAAUUAAUUAAUUUAUUACUUGUAAUUAAUUAGCUAAUUAAUUAUUAAUAAUUUAAUAUAUUUAUCUAUAAACUAAUAUUUAUGUUGAUGAACCAUUAAUAUUUUUAUUAAUCUAAUUAUUUUUUUACUAGUUAUCUAACUAAAAUAAUUUACUAACUAAUUAAAAAGUUAAAUUAUUUUUUAUAAUUUAAUUAAUUAAUUAAUAUAUUUUAUUAUCUUAUACAAUAUUCAUAAUUAAUAAAUUUUUUAAUUUAUUAAAUUAAUUUUAAGUAAUAUUUUUAUGUUAAUUAAUUAGAUAACAUAAUUUUAAUUUAAAAUUAUGACUCUUAUUUCUCUUGUUUAUCUUAUUCACAGGAAGAAUUCAAUUUUCAUCCAAAUACUUACACCUGAAUUUGUAGCUAUUUCUGAAAUAAACAGUUCUCACUUAUAGCCGAACCAAAACGCAGCCUUAGUUUAAGAACUAUUUUGGUAUUUUAAAAGAAUUACUUAAGAUUAAACCAUGGCCCCUUUUUGUGUUUUAUUUUCACAUUUCCAAACGCACAAUAAAUAAUGUGUCGUGCUUUUUGGCCCAAAAAAAGCUGGGGCAAACGGCUGCUUAGACUAGAGAUCUAUUUCUUGCUUAAACUAACUGGCAAAAGUUCAAAAGUUGGGAAAAAGUUUCAAUGAAAUUAACUUGGGCAAAUGUUUACAUUCACUCGAACGACGUAUUUACAAACAAAUAGGAUUAAGGCUUGGUCAUGCUAGACCUAUAUAUGUAGAAAAUUCUCGUCCAAUGUUGCAAAUUUCCAAUGUGUAAUGCUGCUUGGAAGGGAUAAUAAUCCUUUCUCGAGUUCAGACGUUAUCAAAUCCUUAAGGACAAGACAAGCCCAAGUUAAAGUUUAGAGAUAUAAUAGAAAAAAUGUUUAAGUUUCAAACUAAAGUGUGAUUAUUAUUUGUUGGGAAGAAGGUAGUAGCUAAGAGAAAGGCGAUGGAAACAAAAACUUAAUUUAGUUUAAUUUUUCAUUUUUUUAAACGUUUGUGGAAAUAUCAUGAGGCACUGAAAGAGGAAUUGUAGGUACAAACUAGUUAGCUUAAAAGAAGUAGCGCAAGUAAAUACAGUGAUAAUUAAAAGAGUAGCUGAGGUAGUAAGUACGUAGGUCCAUAAGAUAUUAGGUAUCAUUUGGUCCCUGGAGUUUAGGGAUAUUUAAGUUGUACUUUAAUCCAUGAAAUGAAGUCAAGGGUAAUGGAAUUCCUCUAUUAUUAUCUCUCUUGAUUUUCUUCUUAAUUAGUGCCUAAUCUAACUACAAUGGACAGCACAUUUGACUCCGAGAAGGGUACUCGAAGGGUGGUGCAAAUAUACACACUAAUUAAUUAUUUUAAGAGAGGUCCUACAAGUAGUUGCAAACGUUUGAGUAGCAGCUAAGAGAGAAUAACUAUGCAGUUAAUUAGAGAUUAGUAGCUUCAGUUGGACAAAGUUUUGGUGUUAUCAAGCGUUUUGAUUGCAGGCUAUAUAUUUUUAAGUACCUUGAAAAAGAAAAGUGCUAUUUAAAUUGUACUCAAUGUCAUGAAAGAGGGGGGAAUGAGUACUUGAACUCCACCUCUUUCCUUUUCUCUCUACUCUUCUGUUUCAUUCUCUCUCUUUAUUAUAUUCUUCUCUAAAGUCAAGUUUCAUCAUGAGUGCACAAAAGUUCCCUAAGCCUUUACCAAGAUGAAAAUGCUGUUGACUUGAAGCAUGUGUUUGCAAUCCCAAGUAACGAAGAAACUAAGGUUUUAUCUACGUGACAGCAUUUUAAGAGAGAGAGAAAAUUUGAUUGAUGGAAAAUUUUUCAAGUCGGUUAGAUAGUAAUUGGAAAAUAUUGCAAAAUCUAUAUAUGCUAACCAAAGAAAUCGAUGAAUAAGUAUCUAAGCAUAUACUUGUGUGGUAUAUCUUUAAUUUGAACAGCCAACGGAGAUUGUUUAAACGAGAACUACACCAAGCAAAAAAUUUUGAAGACUAGAGAAUAACAUGCUUCUUGCAAAAUAAUAAGAGUGGUAGUUUUGACGAUGAAACAUAUAAGUAAUGCUGCUCGGAAGGAAAUAAGAUCGAAUUCUAUCUCAAGUUGCGAUCUUACCGUUGUCUCUAACACCCCAUUUGGUUCGGGAAUAAGGUGAGGGAUAAUCUCUUACCCCCCUUUAUACCCAAACGUUAUUUUUUGUACUCGAGAAUAGUAGUUUUCAGAUAACUGGAAUAAACUACAGGAAACUUAAUAUUUAACGAAAGGAAAAAUCGUCGUUAAUAUUCGAAAUUACGUCGUUAAUAAUAUAUAGUGAUGAAAAAAUAUCUCGUCGUCACCCGUCGUUAUAGCCUUUCACGUUAAAAGAAUUAACGAUGGAAUAAAAAAAUCGGUCGUUAUAUAUUUCAACGACGGAGUAAGUUACCGUCAUUAAUUAUUAUUCAUUAGUAACCAUACGUUGUAGCAAUAGCGACCUAUUUUUCAUCGCUACAAAGCUUAAUUAUGCGAAAGUUUAUGGGUUUAACGACCAAUAAAUUCGUCGCUAUUAAGCUUAGUUAUGUAAGCUUUGUAAGUUUAACGACCAAUACAUUCGUCGCCAAUAAUUAGAUUAUUGUGAGCUAAGUAAACAAUAACGACUAAGAUUGUCGUCGCUAAAAGUUAGUGUUUUGAAUAGCACAGAGUCGUAACGACCAACAUUUUGGUCGCUAAAAAAUAUAUAAUAUGCAUUAUACAAUUGAAUUACUUUUUUUGUGUUUCUACAUGUGAUUUACCAAAUUAAAACAUAUUGACAAAUACAAGUUAGAAGACAUUCACAUUCAGUUUAAAAAGCAUUCACAUACAAUAUGAUUCACUAAUUUAUCAAAACAACCAUAAAAAGUACUUUCAUCGAACAUCAUCCAUCAUUUUUAAUUUAAUUACUACAAGUCCACAUAUGUAGUUGCCCAAAAGUUUACUAAAUUAAAAGUAAAUACCCCAAAAUAAGGGAAAAUGACAAUUAAACAAGAUGACAAAAAGUUGUCAUAUAUGUUCCGUUGAGUUUUGAAGCAAAAACAAAAAAACAUAGGAAAUCUAGCUAAUAGAUCUGUUGGCUUCAAGUCCCCUCUGCUCAACAUCUUUUGCUAUCUACAAAAAAAAAAGUAAACAUUAUUAUAAUAUUAAUAGAGUAAGAUAAAAAUAUUUGAAACUAAAUGAAGACAUAGUUUGGAGAAUACUACUAACAAAGCUAAGAUGGUAUUUCCUGCUCUUCAGAUCGAGACGGUGGUGGAGGAGCAUUGAAUUGUUGUUGUAACAUUUCCUUAAUUGCUUGAAGUUCAACCUCUGUAACGUAUCGAAACCCAAAAACGAUAAUCGAACUUUAAUCAAAUUGGUUAAAGUGUCGAGAGAAAUGGAUUGGUGAGUUUCAUUUUUGCAUUCCAACAAGGUUGGAAGGGCAAAUAUGAGUUUAAGAAGUGUUGGAAUGGUAUUGGCAUCGAACGGCGCGAAGUAGAGUCGAAACGAUGGAAAAACAGCAUUCUGGAGCAUUGUGUACCGGUACGCCAUGAUGGCUGUACCGGUACAGCAAGCGACCCGAGCACAGGUUGCUCUCGGGUUUGAGUCUGCGCGAAGGUGUACCGGUACGGGACCCGUGUACCGGUACACAAGCUGCGAAACCGAGAGACCUUGCUCUCGGGUUUGGACUUAUGCGCAGGCCUGUACCGAUACACAAACCCGUGUACCGGUACACAGGGGCUCUGGCAGCAGGGGUGAAGUCUGCUACAGAAUUAAGUUGAGGGGCCUAUUUGCAAAUGUCACAACAUGAUAUUUGGCCCACCCCUCUCCCAUUUUCACAGCAAAACCCCUCUCCUCUCCUCUCCCUCUCAUUUCCUCUCUUUCUCUCUCUAAAAGCUUGGGCUAGGGUUUGGGAAAGAAGAAGAAGAAGCAAGGAGGAGAAGAAGAAGAGCUUGGAGAGGAUCUUGUGGCUCUCCAACAAGGUGGACUUGGGUGAGCUCGUGGCAAGGGUGAGUCCUUUUGCUCAUAGAACUCUAGGGUUUGGUUUUAGACCAUGGAUUUUGGGAUUUUGAUCCUCUAAUUAUCCUAGAAACCCUCUAAAGGCAUUGGAACACAUGGAAACUUGAGUUCUUCAUGGUGCUCCCAUGGUGGAUCACUAGGGCACCAAGUGGAUGCCCUAGGGAUGAGUAGAAAGGCUUUGUGAUGGUAUUAGAGAACUUCUUGGUUGAUUCUAAGCCAUUUUUAGCUUAGGAAUGAGAUCAAUCCAAGAGCAAACCAUAUAGGGCUUGGUUAGGGUUCAAAUUUGGGGCUUUUGCCCUAGGAUUUUUCGGGAACAAAUUGAACCCGUAGAAACCUAAUUGGGGGUGUCCUAAACGCGUAGGACAACUCCGUUUGAGGAUGCGAAAAUGUUUAAAUAUAGUUCAUGUAUAAAGGGGCUAAUUUAGCACUAUUUGGGUUUUAGGGCGCAAAGUUCGGCGUUCGUAACAUUCGGGAGACAUCGUAAUCUUCAUCCACUACCUCAUUAAGGUGGGUAGUGCAUUCCAAGGACAUCGAAAAUCCCUUUAUGUCUAAAGCGUCAUAUUUGAGCAUAUGUAUUUAUAUUGUGCAUGUUGCAUAGUAGGGUUAAUUGUAAAUUUCCUUUGCAUAAUAUGAGUUCUAAUGCUUGAGAAAUAGUAGUAAAUGAAUGAGAAUUGGUAACCCUAUAUAUGCACGAUAAGGGACAAGAACCUAGAAGGGUUAGUAAACAAAUGUGACAUAUUGACAUAGACAUAGAGUGUGGCAUGAGUACAAGAACAUAGCACUUAGAAAACAAAUGUGGCAUCAAUGACAAAGAACAAGAACAAGUAGUGUACAUGAGAUGCAAGUAAAUUGGGUUAGUGACAUUAUGACAUAUACACCUUAAAGUUAAGGGUCAUAUGAACAUGGUUCUCCUUGCAGUCAAGGAAUGGAUUGAACUUGGAGUCCUUAAAGUUAAGGAUUGAUCGUACUCACCUAAUAGUCCUUGCUCGAGGGCGGUAGCUCCCCCUCGGGUGAUGUGCUCCGGAGUUGUCAUUACUGGAUCGUAGCGGUUAUCUCCCUAGAGGAUGGUCCCGUCGGGUCGUAGGGGUUAUCUCCCCGAUAAUAGGGAUUUGGGUUGGUGAGUUUGUGAGGGCGAAACCUACGGGCUAGCCAUGAGAUUGAGUAAUGAAAAGUUAAUCUUGCAUUCAUCAUGAGCAUUCUAUCGAGCAUAGUUUUAUUUAUCGUUCAGGCAUAUUAGCUGCAUUUGUUAGUUGGUUAUUAUCUAUUCUUUCUUCUAUUAUGCCUGAUUAGACCUAGUGGGAUAGUCGGCGUGGUUGGUUGCCGAACCCAUUGGAAACUUUGUUGUAGUUCUCACCCCACUAUUUCCACAGAGCCGGGACCGAGCGAGCCGGUAGAUGAUCGCGGUAAGGGCAUCGCGCCCUAAGUAGAGACCGCCCGAGAUGGAUUUCAUUUUGUAGUUGCACACCCUUUACUAUCAUAUUUUGUAUUUGAUGAUUUUAGUAUUAUGAACUUGCUUUAAUGAAUGAUGUAAAGAAUAUUUACUUUAAAUGUCAAAAGUUACAUUUUGGGAGAAAUGAGAUGUAAAAAGAAAUGAUGCAAGAAUGUAACAGAACUUGAUUAUAGUUGGAUACAUGUAUGUGAUUUAAAUUUAGUCAUAUUACUUGUAUAUUGAAUUGCUAAUUCUUUCACCUUGGCUAUUGCUUGCCCUCGUGCAAGCCAUUGUGUAUGCUUCCGCUUAUACAAAUUUGUACUCUAUUGAUACUAGUGUUGAGCCUUGGGCGGACAGGGGAAACUCUGUCCGUUCGGCGUCUGUUUGACGCUCUCGAACCGGCCAAAAGGGAUCGGGCUCGGGGCGUGACAACCUCCAUUCCAUCUAUGCGACUUUUAAGUGACUCAUUUUCCUUAUGAGUCUCACAAAGUUUAGCAUGAAGUUCCGCUCUCGAAGAAGAAGAAGGUUUCAAAUCAGUUGAUUUUACACCCCCUCCGAAACAAACCACAUGAUUACGACAUUGAGAUCCAAAGCAUUUUUCAAUAAGUUCUAUAUUGGAAAAUGUUGGAUUUGAUUGCGACGCCACAAGGAUUUCAUCCUUCAAAAUGUAAAUAACAAAACAAAUAAAAUGAGAUAACAAAAGGAGAUAAAUUAUAAUAAACUAAAUGUAAAGAACUUACAUAUUUCUUAAUAGUAUCUUCUCCUUCUAGUUGUCCACCUUUCUUUCUAGUCUCAUAAAAUAUUGUUGCCAAACUUGGCGGUUUAUCAUAUUUUUCUCCCUAUGCAAAAUAUAAAUUAGGUUCAACCAAUGCCGAUAGUUGAAUAUAGAAGUAUGAUAUUUACUUGCUAGUACCUUUUUCCAAAUAAUUUGUCUAAAAGGCCUACUACCCGUGCGAUGUGGCAUUGAUAACUUUGCCCUAUUUUCUGAGUUUCUUUUACUUAUCGCCUACAUUUUCAUCCAUUUUAACUUGAUCUAAGUAGAAAUAGAGGAUGAAAAAAAAUAAAAAAUGAACAUACUAAAAACUUUUCACUAAAAAGAAUGCAUAGUUAAAAAAAAUAAAUUAGCAUAUUCUUGUAUCAUUAUGAUAAGGAAAAACAACAUACCAAAAAUUUUUCACUAAAAAAAUGUUCUUUGACAAGCCACUCCCAAUUCUCUCGAUCAACACCGGGAGGAAGACUUUUUAGAGCAUCUUGUAUGGUCUUGCAAGGCUUUCUAAAUUUACGAUGCAAAUCUCCUCGCCAUUUGUUCCACAAUUCAUUCAUAUGUUCUAAAGUUUCAUCACGAUAUGCUUCUAUUUGCUUAUUUUGAAAUUUGUCCUGCAAAUAUAAAAUUGUAAUAUAGAAUCAACCAAAACUCGCAUUAUAACUAGUUUUAUAGAAAUAUUUUUGACAUAUGAUGAUUGAAAUGCAAUAGUAAACUUGUACAAUCAAUUCAAAUUUAAACUCAUACUAUAAAAUAUUACCGUCACCGCUGCCCACAUGUGGUUUUUAUCGUCUUCCUCAAUUUCCUUCCACGAAUGAACUCGAAGCGGACAAAUAUUGCGAUUACGCACAAUUUUACCCAAAUGUCUUGAAAAAACCUUGUGAUUUUUUCCAGUGGCACGGUUGUUGUAGAAUUUUACCUCCAACUUUUGACCUUUUUUAAUUUUGCAACUUUCUUACACUUGUUUCUACCUCGGACUUUUCUUUUCUUUUGAGAAGUUGCCAGAUCUAAAAAUAUCACUCAAAAUCCAUAUAAAAUUGCUUAAAUACACAAUUGUAUGAAAAAUAUCACUCAAAAUCCAUAUAAAAUUGCUUAAAUACACAAUUGUAUGAAAGUUUUAUAGACACAAAAAUCUGAAAUAAGAUAAAUAUGUCUAAAUGAGAAAAUUUUACCACACUCUAUAGUUUGUUCGGCACUUUGGAUAUCUUCUACAGACUCGAAUUCAUGCGGCAGAGAGGCAUCAUUUGGUGGUUCUGUUGGAGUAUCAUUUGGUGAUGUACUAUUGUUGAUAGCACCAAUUAAAGCAUCUCGUGAUGAUGAUCUAAGAGAAGGUCGUAAUCCUUUUCCACGACCCUUCCCCAAUGCACCUGGUGCUAUGAAGAGUUGCUUUUCAUAUCUGGAAGUGACCAUGUUUCCUCUUUGUAACCUUGAUGAUUGCAUCUUUCACCUACAACAUUAAUGUAUGAAAAAUGCAUUUAACAUAUUAUGCUUUAUGAAAAAUAAAUAUACCACUAUAUAGCAAGCUUGGUAAUAAAAAAUAAUAGCAAGAAAUGCACAAACUUGAUAAAUUAGAAUCAUCGUUUUCUCUUUUUUUGCGUUGAAAAUGUAUCAACCAUCCUUGGAUCCACAUCAUUCCUAUUCCAACUAAUCUCGUUAUACAUGCUCAGUGUUGUGCAUGCAUCAGUUAUAGGAUUGAAAGAUUCUCUUUGUUGGUAGGCUUCAUCCCUAUCUUCAACUUCCUCAAGAUCAUUAUUUAACUGCAAUGGUAUCAUGUACGUAUCACGAGGUUGAGUCUUUUGCACAAUAUGCCAACCUUUAGUAAUAUGAUCAGCAACAUAAAAUACUUGUGAUACUUGUGAUACUUGACUGGCCAAUACAAAUGGUUCAUUUGUUUUAAGCAAACGUUGGCAAUUAACACUGAUAAACCCAUAUUCGUCUGUUUUAACUCCUUUUCCUUUGUCAAAUACGUCCAACCAAUUACCUCUAAAUAAGACCACUCGACGACCACCAAGAUAUUGUAAUUCAAGAAUCUCUGUUAAGAUCCCAUAGUAAUCUAUCUGUUCAGUUUCACUACCGGUGUCCCCAACUACAACUACUCCACAGUUUUGUGUUCUUAAACCUUUGUCAUUGUUGGGCCAAUUCGGCGCGGACAGUUGGCAAGCCGAGACUAUAUACAUGAUCCAUGUCAAAAUGGUGAACCAAGAGCAUAUGAGACAAAAACGGAAAAGAUGAAGGAAAGGAAAGCGAAAGAAGAGUUUCCUGGAAAAUGAAGAAGGAGUGAGUUUCAAAGUCCGUCGCAUCGAAGAAGAAAGGCCGUCGUAUCGAACCGUCGCAUCGAAGUGAGUUUCAAAGUCGGCUUUAAUGAUAAGUAGACGGCGGUAAUUAAGAUGACCUAAUUAAUGCCGCAUAUGAGACAAAGGUAGAGAAUGUGAUCAAGGCCGUAAAGAAAAGAAUCAGCGGCCAGGAUUAAACCGUACAAAAGAUUGCGCUACAGAUUAUGUCAGAGAAUUUGAAUUUGAUUGUACCGAGGAAUACGCCUCGGAUUGCAUUCGUUUUCAGAGGUUAAGGCGAAAAGUUCAAAAAAUAACGCCAGCUACCGAAGCAUCACUUCGAAAGCUGCCGAGAGGGCAAUUGUUGGGCCAAUUCGGCGCGGACAGCUGGCAAGCCGGGACUACAUACAUGAUCCAUGUCAAAACGGUGAACCGGGAGCAUAUGAGACGCGCCAGAAGAUAUGAGCCGCGUUUAUUCAAAAAAUUGUAACAACCGCAAGCGGUUAUGAGUAGUUCUAAUCGGCCGAAGGUGGUCCUCCAAAUCAAGAGAUAGUGGCCGAUCGUGCAGUAACGAUAACUGAACGCAAGGGCAACUUUAUAAAUAGGCAUACGGCACCCUGAAAAAGGGUCUUCGCCUCUGCGCACAAAAGACCACUUUUAUUUUUCCUGGGUCUUUCUUUCCUGCAUUUACCGCUUUUCAUAAGAGUAGUUCUCAUAACUUAGCAUACUUGGAGUCUGUCUACCCUACGGGCAUCACUCCCCUGUUCUAUUCAAUAGAAAGUCAUUUUCGGCUCUUCUUGCCGAUCAGAUCUCGAGUUGUUUAGUCAUUCGGCUCAUCAGUCGAAUUCUGGGCUUCCCCUCUUCAUUCGGCUUAUCCCGCCGAAGCGAAUUUACUGUGGAGGUCUUCGAACCCGGUUGAUUCGAUCCCUCAUCGGCCGAAUCGCUUGAUUCGUCGUGGGCGCAAACUUCAAGGGUCACCAUCCGCGGCCGCUCAUCAUCCCGACGUUCUUCCCGAGGAGAAUUCUUGACCGGGUCAAGGGUCGGGACUUUCGGCCACCAACAGUCAUGUUCUUCUGUAUGGAACCUAUAACCAUUUACUAUAUAACCACUAUAGCAAGUCACAUAUUUUGUAGGUCCACGAGACAAGGAAAGCAAGUCUUGCAUAACCAAACUUUUGUCCUGCUUGUGUAUUUGGGUAACCUACAAGUUAAAUGUUAAAGUAUAGAUAGUUCAGCAUAAGUUUACAAGGAAUGCAAAUUAUACAAAUAAUAAAAUCAAGAUUAGUGCUUACUCUGUUCUUAAACCACUUAAUAAAGCUUUUAUUCCUACACUUGUAUUGUGCUUCUAUUUUGAAUCUCUGUAUACUGUUUGCAUAUCAGAAUAAAGUAGCUAAACAUAUAAUUUUCAACGAAUAAGAAAAGAAUGUGUGAUAUUUAUAUAUAAAACAUACUUCAAAAAUGGUUGUACUUCUUCACAGUUCUUUAAAAUAUAGAUAUGCGCUUGCUCGAAAUCAUGUGUAUCUAGAUCAUGAGUUCUACCAGCUCCAAGUGUCUUUCCGGCUUGAGAAAAGAUAGACAAAUAUCCAUCAAAUUUAUUUCGUCUAUUGUCAUAAUUGCGCUCUGGACAAUUAAAUUUUGUCUCAACACCGUGAAGAUAUAUUGAGCAAAAUAUCAUACAUUCAUUCGCAAUAUAUCCUUCGGCGAUUGAUCCCUCUGGAUGAGCUCUAUUGCGUAUACUAAACUUUUGUGUGUACAAGUUUCUCUCUAUUGGAUACAUCCAUCUGUAUUGGACAGGUCCACCAAGCCUAGCCUCAUGCGCUAAAUGGAUUGGCAAAUGUAUCAUGACAUCAAAAAAUGAAGGUGGAAAAACUCUUUCCAACUUGCAAAGAGUUAUUGGAAUUUGGGCUUCAAUCUGAUUCAAAUCAUCCAUACUUAUUGCCUUAGAACCCAAUAUUGUAAAGAAUUGAGAUAACUCAAGAAGUGGCUCAUAAACUGUUUUAGGAAGGAGACCACGCAAUGCUAGACGUAGUAGUCGUUGUAGAAGAACAUGACAAUCGUGACUUUUUAGGCCUGAAAUCUUGUGCUCUUUAAGAUUCACACAAUGAGAAAUAUUUGAUGAAAAACCAUCCGGAAGUUUUAGCUACUUAAGAAAAAGGCAAAAUCGAUGCUUCUCUUCUGAAGAUAAUGUGUAAGAUGCAGCAGGAAGUAUAAACUUACUCCCUUCUUGAAUUGGAUGUAGAUCAGGCCUUAUGUUCAUUGCUUGCAAAUCAAGACGCGUAUUAAUGGUGUCUUUAGUUUUUCCUUUAAUAUUCUUGAAUGUCCCAAAAAAAUUAUCACUUAUAUUCUUUUCAAUAUGCAUCACAUCCAAAUUAUGUCGCAGCAUAAGAGUUUGCCAAUAUGGAAGCUUAAAGAAUAUACUCUUUUUAUUCCAAUUAUCUCCUCGAAGGUCAUGUGAUAUUUUUUUCUUUUUAUUAGCAGCCUUAGUUAAAUUUAUCCCUUCAAGAUCUUGCACCUGUUCAAGAACAUCAUCACCAGUAAGUAGCUUUGGUGGUAAUCUCCUCUCCUUUGUGCCAUCAAAUGAAAAUUUGUCAUUCCUCCAUUUAUGGUUGGUAGGUAAGUAGCGUCGAUGUCCCAUAUAACAUUGCUUGCAACUAUUGACUAAUCUUAAUGAAACAGUGUCCUUGUUGCAACAAGGACAUGCCAAUUUACCCUUAGUGCUCCAUCCAGAUAAAUUGCCAUAUGCAGGAAAGUCAUUAAUAGUCCAUAACAAAGCCGCACGCAUUUGAAAAUUUUGACGAAUUGACGCAUCAAAUGUUGUAAUACCCACUUCCCAUAAGUUCAUUAACUCUUCAAUCAAAGGCUGGAGAUAGAUAUCAAUUGCAUCCCCAGGACCGUUAGGUCCUGGAAUGAGCAUUGACAAUAUAAGAUUAGGUUCCUUCAUACAUAUCCAUGGUGGUAAAUUAUAUGAAAUUAACAUUACUGGCCAAAUGCUGUAUGGCUUUCUCGAAUCUCCGAAAGGUUGAAAGCCCUCACUAGCAAGACCAAGUCUUACAUUUCGAGGCUCUAAUGCAAAUGAUUCAUAGAGUUCAUCAAAAGAUUUCCAUUCCAUUGCACCAGCAGGGUGUCUCAUUAUUUCGUCAUUUACUCUUUUAUCAUAAUGCCAUCUCAUAAGAGAAGAUAUCUUUGUGAAUAUGAAUAACCGUUGAAGCCUAGGCUUUAAUGGAAAAUAACGCAAUGUCUUUGAUGAUUUGUUUUUACUAUUUGCAUUGUGCUUGAUUUCCUCAUUUUGUUUAUCAUUCUUCCAUCUAGAAGCACCACAAAUUUUGCAAGUAUUAGAUUCUUCAUCGUCUUUCCAAUAUAACAUACAAUCAUUUACACAUGCAUCUAUUUUUUUAUAGGAGAGCCCCAAAUCCUGAAUAAUCUUUUUCGCUUCAUAAUAUGAAUCUGGCAAAGUUGAUCCUUCAGGUAGAAACGUUUCAUUUAAUAAUUGUAGUAACAUGGUAAAUGAUGCAUUACUCCACUUUCCAAUACUCUUGAUAUGAAGUAAUUUUACUAAUACAGAUAAUUUAGAGCUCUUGGAACCCGAGUAUAAUGGUUGAUUAAGCUCCCUUAAUAAUCUAUAAAAUUUUCUGGCUUCAUCAUUGUGUUCUUCUUCAUGUACUUCAUGGCUUGAGAUAUUAACAUUUUCAUGAUUCAUAACGAGAUCACUAAAAUCUGGAUAUAAAUCCCUUAUAAUAUCCUCCAUCUCGUCAUCACUCUUAUCUUCUUCUAUUUCCUCGGUAUUUUCAUCAUCAGAUUCGGAUUAAGGCUCUCCUGACCUUUCUCCGUGAUGAUACCAAAAAGUAUAAUUACGGACAAUUCUAUAAACCUUUAAAUGUGUCUCAACUAUCUCACGAGUUCCUGAAUAAGUGUCUACACUUAACGCAGGGACACCUGAUUUCAUUAUUAUCUCCCGUUCUCUUAAAUGCAUAAUUGAGAAAACUUUGAACACCUUUAUCAUAUGCCUCAUUAAGCCGGUCAUCAACCAAAUCCAUCCAAUCCUUAUUAGGUGCCAUUAUCUUCUUGUAAGUUUGAUAAAAAUUAGAGCUCAAAAUUACCUAAGCAACAUAGAGUGGUAAUUAAGCAACUUCACAUCAAAUUAAUAUAAUGUUAAAAAAAAGCAACAUGUAUAACCUUAUAUAAGCCUAAUUACAAUAAUUAAUGGGUGUGAGUGAAAGACUCUUAUUUAAAAUUAAGAAGCAAGCAAACUUCUACAUAUCUUCUAACUAAUUAUUGGCACAAAAAAAACCCAAUUUAAGAUAACAUAGCAAAGAAUAAAGUCAUAAAAAAAUUUUCUUAUUACACAAUGAAGACAUUAAUCUGUUAUAUAGUAUAGAAAGGCCAUGUAAAUAUGUGGUCACCCAAGCACCUGGACCUAUGUGUUACUAUCACACCACAUGACAGACAAAAAAAAAUCAUCUAACCUUUUUCAUACUUGGUUAUCAAAAGAAGAGUAAAAACUUAGUAUAACAUUCAAUAUAUCAACCACCCAAUAGUGCUCUUUCCAACAGUAGAAACUACAACAAUACAAUAAAAAAGAAAAAUAUUAACAAAAAAUAAUAAUACAAACAUGAAACUAAAUCAACUAGUAUGCAUUGGCUAAGUAAAAAACUAAGUGAAGUUAAUACCUAAGCUUUGGCGGCGGCGGCACAGAGGAUUUUAGUGGCAGAGGCAAUAAUAAUCCACACCAAUCCACGCAAUGCCGAGCGACUACACAGUUUCACACCAAAUGUACCUAAAAAGCCUAAUAAAUAUUAGGUUGAAAAAUAUGAGAUGGACAGAAUAAAAAUAUAUGAACAAAAUAAAUACAAAUAUCAACAUUUCCUAUAAAGAAAAGAUUAAAAUAAAUUACCUCUAAGUAUUUAGGGUUCCAAAUAUUAAAUUUAAAAAUUAUAAAAGUAAUAUGACAGUUGAUAGAAAAAUCUGGCACGUUCAGAACUAUAUUAAUUAAAAAUUGAAAAUUUUAGACCUUUACUAUUUUUUAUAUUCUAUAACAAAAAUGGGUCCCUCUCAUAGGCAUUUUGAGAAAUACUAACUAAAAUUUGGGGGCUUCAAAUUUUCUUCAUUUUUCAUUUUUUAUAACACAACAGGUCACCUAGAAAUAUAUUAAUAUGAAUAUUCAACUGAAGGAUCCUCCCACUUUGGAAAAAAAAACAAAAAAACAAAAAACAAAAAAAAAAAUUAGAAACAAAAAACAAAAAAAGCCUAUUUGCAUUGGACUUGGAAAGUCCUUCCUUUGACUUUUCCUUUCAAUAAAGAUCACAAAUUUAAAGCAUAAAACGACAUUGCAUUGUGGAGUUGUUAAGCAAUUAAGGAUAUUUUUUUGUGGGUAUCGAUAGUCUCUUUUCAUUUGUAGAAAUCCAUACAAAUGGGACCCAUCACAAAUAUCAUAUUAAUAAAAUAAAAAUAUUCUGCAGAUGAAGAUAAAAAUAGAGAAAGAGCUUACAAAGGGGACCCAUUACAGAAAUUCCACCUUAUAGUGGUGGAAAAACUAUAUAAAUAAAGAAAAAAACAUAGUAAGAGAGAGAUAAAGGACCACAGUCAAAUGUAUAUGAUAGCGGCUCGUGAAGCGUCGGAGUAGUUCGCCCUUCUAUAGCGUUGGAGAGCGCGUGAACAUUUGCUGGCGAGCGAGCGCGUGGGUAUAUUUGCCGGCGAGCGAGUGCGUGAGUAGCCAACGGCAAGCGAGGGCGUGGGUAGCCGACGGUGAGCGAAGGUGUGAGGAGCCGACGGCGAGCGAGCGUGUGAGGAGCCGACGGCGAGCGAGCGCGUGAGGUGUUGGGAGAGGAAUCCCUAUGGUGACUCAGGAGACAUUAGAGGAGAUUUGGGGCUAAUUUGGGAGCUAGGUUACUUUGUCCCAAAAGGAUGCGGGACUGGGAGAUUUUAGAUUUUUUUUUGUUUUUUGUUUUUUUUUUUACAAUUAGGAUGCAUUUUGGGCCUGCCAAAAUUCUUUCUAGGCCCGCCAAAUUUUUUUGUUGAGUAUUAACGACCGGGCCAGAUGACUAAUAACGACGAAAUAAAUCUUUCGUCGCUAAUUAUUCGUUACCAAAUAAUAUUCUAUUGAGGUAUAUUAAAUUUUCUCUUUUUAGCGACCAUAUGUAGCGCCCGUCGUUAAAAGUUGGUCGCUGAAAACUCAAUUUGCUGUAGUGAUAUAAACUGGCAUAAUUCGGUAUAAAUCUGGAGUUGUUGUUCCACCUUUAUUCCUGGAACAAUCGAGAACAAGAUUAAUUAAUUUCUAAUUAAUUUUAAUUAUAGUAUUACAUCAUUAAUUAAUCUAAUUAAUAAUUUUAAAUCAUUAAUGAAUCUAAUUAAUAUAUUUAAAUCAUUAAUUAAUCUAAUUAAUAUUAAUUAAAUCAUUAUUUUUGGAUAACCUGCCAACCUAUUUUUAUUUUUAAAAUUUAAAAUUUUAAAUUUUAAAUUUAUAAUUUGUAAUCUCAAAAUUAAAGUUUAUAAUUUUAAAUUUGAAAUUUUAAAGUUUAAAUUUGAUAUUUUAAAAUUUUGAAAUUUAAAAUAUGAUAUUUUAUAAUUUUCAAAUUUAAAUUUGAUCUUAAAUUUAAAGUUUGAAAUUUAAAAUUUUAACUUUAAAAUUUAAAAUUUGAGAAUUUAAAUUUAAAUUUUAUUUUUGAAUUUUAAAAUUUAAAAGUUAAAUUUUAAAUUUAAAAAUAUAAAUUUAAAGUUUAAAAAUUCAAAUUCAAAUAUAAUUAGAGAGGUAAUACCAUUAUUUUCUAUUUACAANAAUAUAAUGAGAGGGGUAAUAUAAUAUUAUUCUUUUUUAUUUAUAACUAACUACUAUUUUUCUUAUUCUAUGUUAUCUAUCAAAAUAUUAUUUUUUUAUUAUCGGGAACAAUUCAAUUUUUAUCCAAAUGCAAAAUUGAUCUACUUUUACUUAUAUGUAAACUUAUACCUAUCCCGAAAUAAGUAAUUCUUAUUUAUACUCAGAACCAAAACGGUGCCUAGGAGCUCGCCAUAUGGAAUAGAUAAAUGUAGGCAUGCACGUGUUUCAACGAAAUUGUGAAAUUAUUAUAUAUAAUGUAAGGGUUUCUAUUUUCAUUUCUAUAGAUAUAGAUAUAGGAGAGAAAAAAACAAGCUAAGAAUAAAAAAUGGCCAAUUUGCAGAAAAAAUCCACUAAUUUUAGGUUUUUGCAAAUAUGGACUACCUUUUUCGUUUUUGCAGAUUUAGACCGAAUUUUUUGCCAUCGGACGAAAAUACCCUUCUUCCUUUUCUUUCUCUCCCUUCUUUUUUCUCUCUCUUCUUUUUUUUUUUCUUCAGUAUGUUUUCCUCCUCCGCAGCGCCCGCCCUCCCCAUCGCCGCCACGUCCACCGCCUCGCCUGCGCCUCGUGCCGCGCUGCCGACUCUGGCCGCCGUUUCUCCCCACCCCUGGCGCCCCUCCACCCCCCACCAUCCGCGCUUUUGCCCCUCCUGCCGGCCCCACGACCCCCCUGCCCCUCCCCCUUUGGCUCGGCCUCCGCCCCCUCCUCCGCCACCGAUGCCGACAACGGCGAGUCGGCGGCCUCCUUACUCGACUACAUGCUCCACCACGGCCUCCCCGACGACCUGCCCCUCCCCCUUCGCCCCCGCCUCCACCCCCUCCUCCGCCGCCGACGUCGACGACGAGGUCCUCGGUGUUGGGGUCGUCGUCGAGCUCCCGCGUCCCCACAGCGGUGCUCUCGAGCAGGAUAGGCAUAGCCCUAGAUGGGGCGGCACUGUCGUGCGUCGCGAAGCUCCGCGGCGGCACGGGCAAUGCGGGGAUCGCUCGCGCUCGCGCUCGUUCUCGUGCUCGAACGGGAGUGGCGAAGGCGACAAAGGACGGAUGGGGCGAGGCGAGUCGGCAGCGUAGGCGAAUCCGGCUCGAUUUUUAGGAGAUUUUUAUUGUUAUGAUGUAGUGGUGUAAUAGUGUAAAAAAUAAGAAGGAAGAGGAAGAGGAGGAGAAGGAGAAAUUGUGUAAUUUUGGGUGAAAUGGUGUAAAAUUUGGUGAAAUGGUGCAAGUUUGGGCGAAAUGGUGCAAUUUUUCUUUCAAACAGGGUAAAAUUUACACUAUUUCGCUCGUCCCUUUUAGGCGAACGUUGCACUAUUUGGGUGAAAUUUACACUAUUUUUUAUUCUCUUCUUCUUCCUCCUUCUUUUUCUCGGUUUAUUCUCUUUUUUUUUUUUCUUCCUCCUUCUUCCCCUUGGUUUAUUCUCUCUCUCUUUUUUUUUUUUUUUUUUUCCUCCUUCUUCCACCUCGAGGAGCUCUAGAGCCGCCUCGCGCGCCUCCGUGCUGAGAACCGCGAGCUCGCCGCGCGAAUCGGUGACGCCGCCCACCUCUCCGCGCUCCUCCCCCGCAACUCCGACUGGCUCCGGGCCGAGUUCGCAUCCCUCUGUCGUCGUCUCGCGUUGGCGCGCCGACGGAGAAGGAGAAGGAAGAAGGAGGCCGCAGUGGAGCAUAUGUCGUCGAGCAGGGAGGCUGCAAAGCGGGGCUGGCCGCGGCGGCAGAGGGCCUAGGCGAGGGCGCGGUAGGAGGAGGGGUCGGGGGAGAGGCCGAGGUGGGGGAGGCAGGCUCGUCGCCCGCGACGUGGCCGGAGCGGACGAGGGUGAUGUCGCAGGGGCAAGGAGCAGGGGGUGCGCGGGCGAGGGUGAGGGUGCGCCGAACAGAGGUGAGGCAGGCCGCCUCCGCCGCUCUCUGGAAAAAAAAAGAAAAAAAAGAACUAGAGAAAAAAAAAAGGAGAGAGAAAAAAAUACAAGAAUAUUUUCGUCAGUUUGCUGAAAAAUCAGACCGAAUCUGCAAAAAAGAAAAAUGUGGUCCACUUUUGCAAAAGCCCAAAAUUAAUGAAUUUUUUAUGCAAAUUGGCCAUAAAAAAUUGAAACUUUGAAAAAAAAAAAAGAAAAAAAGAAAAAAAGGAGGAAAAAAAACAGAAGAGCCGGUAUGGAUAUUGAGUACAGUGAAUAGGCACCCCCUAUCUGCAUUUUGUGCGUUCUUCCCCCCACUACGGCCAUGGCAGUGGCGCCUGCCUCCUCCUCCCUCAAAUUCUCCCUCUUCCUCCUCCACCCCCGCCGCUUCCCCGCCGCUCCUCCGGCCUCUUCCGCCUCUCCACUCCUCUCCUCCUCUCCUUUCUCUUCCCCCCUCCCUCUCUCUCUGCCCCGUGCCCACGUCCCUCUCUCCGCUCGCCCUCUCCCCGCUUUCUCCAAGCCCAAGAAGCCCAAUCCAACCCCGAGGGUCCUCGCCGUCUCCGAUGGAGAGGAGAAAGUCUUGACUCUUGCAGAAGAGGAAGAGGAAGAUGAAGAAGAAGAAGAAGAUGAUGCUGAUGAUGAUGAUGAUGAAGAAGAGAAGGCCGAGGAGGACGGAGCGGCGGCCGCCGGGAAGUUCAGACUUCAGGUCCGGCCCUGCGAGCUCUACGCCUGCAACUUGCCACGGAGCACCGACAUCUCCCAGCUUUUGGACCUCUUCAACCGCUACGGCACUGUCAUUUCCGUCGAGGUUUUUUCUCUAUUUCAUUGUCCGGACCGUAGCAUGAAAUAUAUACUUCAACUUACAAUCUUACAGUGUUUUUGAAAUGUUUUGAUCUUACGUUGCGUCUAACCUUCUCAAUAUUUGAAACACUUUUAAUGGAGCAGUCUGUAAUGCGAUGGAAUAUUUUGUUACUUGAUGAAUUGUUCUGCAAAAAUCUUGCAAAUGCUUUACCGUUAGGAUGCACGAUUUCAAAACUCUUGAAGCUCAAUAAUCUAUUUAAAAGCAUUAUACGAGUAGCCAGUAAAAUCAAAGCUUUUACGUACCUACUCCAAAAUUUGCUACAGUUCGUAUAAGGUCUAAUACAUUUUUACCUUCUAAUACUACUUACCAGUGCUCCUUCUGUUUCGUGUCGAAAUGAUACUAUAUGUUACUUUGCUGUGCGUUUCUUAUGGAAAUUCUUUUACCUGGGGAGGGUCUUGAAGUCCACAUUUCUUGUACUUUUCUGCAUAUUUCUUGUGAUAUCUUAUUAUUGUUGGACACAUUAAAACACCGACCUCUAGGAUCUUAUGCUCCUAAAUGCAAACCAUUGUUUCGCAUUGUAUCAGAGCUAGAAGUCUAAGUACAAGACUUUUCUGGCAUCUAGUCUAAUUUAAAUUUCUUCUAUUUAUCAAAAGGUCUCAAGCCCAGAUUUUAGUGAGAGUGUCGAAUAUACAAUAUUCAAACACCGUUCUGAAGUAGUUUACACUGCCUGAGGAAAUCGGUUGUUUCACAAUUGUAAUAUGGCUCUAAUUUUCCACUUAUUUACAAUUCUACUAUAGAAUGUUUAGCUGAGAAAUAAACGGCCCAUCGAUUCUUUUCAAUACACGUCAACCUUUUUCUUUUUCUUUUUUUUUUUUUUUUGUCUCUUUGACUUUGGAAUCCCUUCUGUUACUUGAUUUGUCCUUUGUUUAGGAAAUAAGAACGAAAAUACCAAAUGGUUUAAUGUUUGGUUGAUAUCUUAUAGCAUAUAUGCACCCUUUAGUCAAUUCUUCUAUUAGUUAGUUGUGCUCUGGCUAUCGUUGUAUUUUAAAGUUUAACCUCAUUGAUGAUGACAGCGACCUUAUUUUAACAUGGCAAGUUCAUAUUAACUAUCGAAAAUAUCUCCUUUGAUACAGUUUGGGGCUUUUUUUGCAAAUAGCCCUCUAACAAUUUUUUUUUUAAAAAUUGGCCAUGUAAAAAAUUUAUUUGCAAAAAUGGUCCUGGCCCCGCCACGCAAGCGCCACGUCAGCGCCACGCGGGCGGGGCUGGGCCAGAUGGUUAAGUUGAACACGGUGAACCAUUCACCGUGUUCAAUACAAAAUUUUUGUAUUGGACACGGUGAACCAUUCACCGUGUUCAAUACAAAGUUUUUGUAUUGGACACGGUGAAUGAUUCACCAUGUCCAAUACAAAAUAGUUAAGAUCGAAAUAUUUAUAUUGGACACGGUGAACCAUUCACCGUGUCCAAUACAAAUAAUUGGACACGGUGAAUGGUUCACCGUGUCUAAUACAAAUACCUCCAACUUAGCCAUUGUUGGGGUAUUUGUAUUGGACACGGUGAACCAUUCACCGUGUCCAAUACAAAAAUCUUGUAUUGAACACGGUGAAUGGUUCACCGUGUUCAACUUAAACAUCUGGGCCCGCUCUGCCCGCGUGGCGCUGACGUGGCGCUAGCGUGGCAGGGGCAGGGCCAUUUUUGCAAAUAAUUUUUGGACGGGGUUAUUUUUGCAAAUAAAAUUUGUCAGAGGGCUAUUUGCAAAAAAAGCCCUACAGUUUGGCUUUGGGAGCAAUUCCGUACUGUUUUUCUGUAUUUGUAGAAAGAAAUAGCAUAAUCCUUUAGACCACUGUUCUAAUGAAAGUUCCAACUAAACAUUAUAUCUUUAUGAGAAUUAUCUGUAUGGAAUCACUCUUCUGGCUCUGCAAUUACUGAACUUGUGCAUAUUUCCUUGAUUCAUUACUAUUUCCUUGUUUUAGUGUUUGUGACAAUUUAGCUGCUUACUUGCUUGAUAAGUUACUAUUGUCUGAGUCAACCUAAACAACACUGCUGUGCAAUUCUAAUAUUAUCAUUGACUAAUAUUAUUGAAAUAAUUUGUUUUCCUAUUUCGUGUCAUCUUGAGAUCAUUGAGAUAUGUGCUGCUGACUGCUGAAGUAAAUAUUACAAAUUUUUAACCAGUAAAAUGGAUGAUGCACUAUUUUGUUGAUGUUAAAAAUUACUCAACUAUUUGGUUUCCAUGCUGCUGCAAAUUUUAGUUCUUUCUAACCCAUCAUUUUUUUUUUUUUUGAUUUAGUAGUUUUUGUCAAAAAGUACCCAUGCAGAUGCACCAUUUUUAGCCCAUAAUUUUUUUUUUCUUUUUGUAACCAAAAAGUGACAGCGUUUGGUCUGAGUAGGAGGCUGAAUGGGCUUCUUUAUCUCUGUAAGCAGUAAGCUCCAAUUUGAAGUUUUUAUUUUUUUUUGCUUCAGUGUCAAUCUGCUGGAGGGUUUUAGUUCCAAAACUCCUGCCAUUCCAACCUGCCCCUUAGCAUUAGUAGAUGGUAAUCAAAGAAUUCCUGUUACUCGUAGUUGUUUCUUUCUAUCCUUUUGAUACUGGACUGCUGUAUCUGCAUAAGAACAGUGUCGUGCGAUUUCGUAAUUUUCUUGAUUGCUAUAUGGUCAUUAGCAGGUGCUAUUAUAUUUUAACAAUUCUUGUAUAUACAAAAUAUGCUUUAUAUAGCACUUUGGAAUGUGAACAUUUGCAGGUUUCACGAGAUGCUGUAACUGGCAUAAGUCGUGGAUGUGGUUUUGUUACAAUGAGUUCUCUAGCAGAAGCAAAAGCAGCAAUUUCUGCUCUUGAUGGAUCUGUAAGCUCUAUAACAGUUUUUGUGCUAAUUUUCAAAUCCAUUAAAUUUUCAAUUAUUUUAUAGUAAACUCUUUUCUCUUGCUAGGACCUUGGUGGGCGUGAAAUGUGUGUGAAAUUUUCGGCUGAUAUGGUCUCUGGAAGAAAAAAUACAGAGGCCUUAAAUACGACACCCAAGAAAGACAUUGUCUUUGAAAGUCCAUAUAAGGUCUAUGUGGGUAAUCUUGCUUGGUCUGUAAGACCUGAAGGUUUGAGGGAGCAUUUUAGCCAAUUUGGAACUGUUGUAAGUACUAGGGUGCUUUAUGACCGUAAAGGAGGGAAAAACCGUGUCUAUGGAUUUCUUUCAUUCUCUUCAGCUGAUGAACAGAAGGCUGCAAUAGAGUCGAAUGGAUCGGUAUAGUGCCUUUUUUGGUUCUUUUUUCAUUGGAGAAGUGAAUCAGGCCUGAAAAUUUGCUUUUUCUUUUUGUCUAGUUAUUUUUUGCUUUUUUGAUCAUUUAUUCUUCUGUUCUAUUGUUUGUCUUUUUUUUGCAUUGUCAAUCAUGCCUUAGGUACUUUAACAUCAAACUAUUGAUGGGCAUUUUCAUUUAGGUAAAUUCAUUUUUGAUUUGUACAAUUUUGAUUCUUCUUGUUAUGUUGUUAAUAGGUAUUUCAUGGGCGGACAAUGUUGGUUAGGGAAGUCGUCAAUAGGGAAGAAGCAUGAUGCCACAACUUGGUUUCAUUCAACAUCAAAGAAGCAGUUUCAUCCCUAUAUGAAGUAGUACUUUAUGUUGCUGCAAUCUUAUUUAUUGGAUCCUUGGUAUGAUGAAAAGGUGAUCUCGAGUUUCCAUUUAAUCAGCCGUUGUUAUUAUAUCUUGUCAUAUCUUGUAUCUUUCUUAUGUGUUAUGUAGUUUCUCUAUCUUGUUUUAGAGAAUACCUUCAUGUGAUUUUUUAACUGUCAGUAUAUAGUUUUGAAAGUUUGAUUUGAUUCUUUCAAAACUCAAUUUUCUAUUAUAUAUAGUGUCUUAUGAAUAACCGAUGGUUAGACACUUGCAAAAGAUGUUACAGAUGACAUUGGCCUUAUAGUUAGGGGGUGUUUGGCCUAGCUUCCUAAAAGUGAUUUUGAGCCCAAAAUUGAUUUGGGGCUCAGUAGAGCAUUUGGCUAUAAGAGUUCGAAAAUCUGAUUCUAUUUUUCAGAAUCUGAAAACUGAUUUUUCAAUCCCUAGAAUCAGAAGCAGAAAAAAGCUGCUUCUCCAAAACUGAUUCUUGCAAAAUCAGUUUUCCCACUUAAAAUUUUUAGAGAAGUACCCAAACUACCCCUAAACAAAUAACAUAAUUCUAUCUAUCAUUUUAUAUUCAAUUAAUAUUUUCAGCUAUUCUCUUCUCUCUUCUAUUCACUAUUCCCAUUCACUCUUCCCACAAAUAACUCUCUUCCCAACUCUUCCCCAACAAUUUUUUUUUUCACCUUUCUCUCUUCUCUAAUUCCAUCUCUCUCCUUUACUUUUUAUUUAACAGAUUCCCUCUAUCUUUCUCUCUUCUUCCAUUGCUUGGCGGGUUUGGCCGGAUCUGCACCGGCGGGAUCCGUCCUUGCUGGAUCCUGUCGGAUCUGUGCCGGCGGAAUUCGUCCUUGCCGGAUUUGGCUGGAUCCAGCCGGAUCCAUGUUGGCGGGUUACGUCCUUGCCGGAUCCGGCCAGAUCCUUGCCGGCAGAAUUCGGCAAGGCCGAAUUCGACCAGAUUGGGUGCUGUCGGCAUGAUAAAUGGGAAUGUGAUUAUAAAAAAUUAAAAUACGACGGAUUUGGGUCGAUUAAAAUUUUUAUUUGUAUUUCAGUAGAACUUAAAAUUAAAUUUGUAUUAAGAAUAUAUUUUAUAUAUAGAAAAAGUAUAAUUUUUAAACAUUUUGAUUAUUAAUAUACAUUAAUAAAUUAAUAUAAUAUUUUGUAUGUAACCUUCUUUCAUGUUUAAACCUAGAAAAUCACUUCAUUACAAAAUAAAUUAAUAAACUAAUGUUAAACAAUAUUACAAAAUCACUUUCGCAAAAAAAAUUUGCCAAACAACUUUCUAUAAUCAUUUUAGAAAAAUCACUUUUCUAUCAAACUCGGCCAAACGCUUUACAGAUUUUAACCAAAAUUACUUUUUUAAACCAAAAUCAAUUCUGCAAAAAUCACUUUUCUAGAAUCUAGGCCAAACGGGCCCUUAGUCUUUUGGAAGAAAAAAUAAAUACUUGAUAGCUUCGUUCGGAGGUUUUUUAAAGGGUAAAAUGCAAAGAUUGUACUUAGACUUUCACAUUAGCACCUUAAUAUGAAUUUGAAAAGUUUGUAAGUUAUGUAAUUUGAUCCCGUAAUGCCCAGUACUUAGACUUCCACAUUAAGGUGUUAUUUCUAAGCAUGCAAGUGUAAUUAGUAACAUCACAUCAAAGAUGAUCUGAUUAUAGUAGGAAGGGUACAAAGAUCCGAACUUACAAAAGAAAGUUGUAUAGAUACAAACUACUGUUGUAUGUAUGUCAAUCCAAAAGUACUAUAUACAAAGACAUUAACACAACCAUCAAAACGUUAUUUACUAUCUACCUAUGUAUCACGGACACUUCUAUAAGCCUUGCGUGUCCGUGUCAAACGCGCGCGUGUCCGUGUCGGACGCGUGUUCGAUGUGGACACUCCUUGGAUGCCUAUUUAAUGCCGCGCAUACAACUUAAAAAAUAUAUAUAUCUAUUUUUAUUUUACUUUUUCUAUACAUAUAUAAUGUAAGAUGAUAAAUAUUUUAGCUUUUUGAUGAAUGUAUACAAUUUCUUUUUGACAAUAUAAAUAAAUUAUGUAUGGUGGAGAAUUUCUUUUCUUAAAAUAUAUGAACUAUCAAUGAAUUUUACUAACUUCCAUUUGUAUGAGAAAUAUAAUAAUAUUUUACCAAAAUUAAUAUUUUAUACAUAAUAAAAAUAUAUUAUUAUAUUAAUAAUAUUAUAUUCUAUUAGCAGUGUCCAUGUUGUAUCCGUGUCCUAAUUUUUUAAAAGUUGUCGAGUCGCGGUGUUUGAGUCGUGUCGUGUCUCGUGUCCCGUGUCAGUGUCUGUGAAGCCUAGCUAUCUAUGCUAAGUCGUGCCUUGCCUUGUUCUUGUCUCAGCUUCGAAUUUGGAAAAAUGGAGUAGGGCAUCAACACUACAAGAAUAUUGUGUGAUUUCUACACCAUGUGUAGUAAAGAAAACAAAAAUUAUAGAUACUACAAAAGAAUAUCAAGAUAAAAUUAUUGCACCCGUAAAUUAGGGGUGCAUUUGCAGGGUGGAUCAAGUGGGGGAAGGGUUACCCCGGCUCCUACACUGCCAACCAAAACCCCACCCUACCUAUUGCCUCCUAGGAGUGUUCACAAUUUGACUCCAAACUGAAAACCAAACCGAACCAGACAAAAUAAGACAAAGCACAAUAAGACAAUUUGGUUUGGUUUAUAUGGUUUUCAGUUCGGUUCGGUUUUGAAAAUAACUGAAAUUAUGUUUUCAAUUUCGAUUCGGUUUUAACACUUCUCUUAACCGAACUGAACCAAAAAUCUGAUAGUUAUAUUGCUCAUUAUUUUUUUUAUUUAAACCAUAUAUAAUUUUGUUUUUGUGAUCCAAUCGUGAUCACAUAUCAACACACUUUUUAAAAUGGAUCUUGUGAUCUACCCUGCUUCCUGUUGGCGCUCCAAAUCCACCUUGCUAGCCAACUAAUUAUAUUGUCCCAAUCAAAUUGACUUCAAUUAAUUGUUUAUGAAACCAAAUCGACAUAAUUUCUCAACAAAAUAAAGAUGAAAAAAAAAUUGAAGCAUAAUCAACAUAACAAUCUCUGAAGAAAUUUUUUAUCAAAAGAAAAGUACCAUCUAGAUCUUAAAUUUUACGAACUAAUUUUAGUUUUGAUCAUCAAAAAAAAAAAAUGGAAGUAAUAAAAUGUAGAGCACGUGAAAGAGAGGUUGAGGUGCUUGGGCUCUCAGUUGUAGUAAAGGAGAUCGAAGCACUUGAGCUUACUGCAGUGAAUGACUGUAAGAUAGAGAUAGACCGACAAGCUAGGUUGUUCGUGAAAGAUGGGGAUGAGUCACACGUGUUAGAAGAGGGGAAAGUGCAAAAAUGUUGGCCAGAGAGGAUAUGGAGGGGAAUGGAAUGUCGGCAAACAUGAUUGGAGGAGAGGAAGAUUUUGAGAGUGGUAGAGAUUUAAGACUUAAGAAAGAAAAUAGAGAUUAUGGGAGGGCGGUGUCGAUUCCUAGGAGUAGGAGAAGUGGGUUUCUUUGUAAAUAGAUGUUAACUUAAUAGAUAUAUAGAAAAUCAUUAGCAGUUUUAGAGAAAGAUUUGGGGUGCAUCCCAGGCAAAUCUUGGCAUGGCGGAUUUAGGGUGGAUCAAUUUUUCUUCGUCUCCUGCUCUGAAUAUAUCUAGGACUAAGAAAAAAUUUUCAUUUACUACCUGAAUAUGUUAUUUACAGGCCCCCACAUACUGUCCCAUUAGAUGUGGAUUAGGCCGAGAGCUCCGCCAAUCUGGAUCCAUCUGCAUCCCUACUGUAAAUAUAGUAUCAUUUAAGUCUAACUAGUUACCAAUAUUGUGCAUUCUUAGAAUAAAUUCGAAAUCCAAACAUUACAUGCUAUGCUGUCACAUGUAUCCUUUGUGGACUCUUUCUCAUUUCGAGCCGUCAUUGGGCAAUCUUGCUAACGGUACCUCUUGGAAGAUUGCCUACCCAUGCAUAUUGAUCAGAGGAUUGUUCUAUUACUGCUUGGGGUAUAAACAAGUCGAACACGAGCGAGCUAACCCUAGUUGGAGAUCAGAUCUAAAUUACUAUAGGCUGGUUCGUGACCAGUUGAAAAAGCCUCGCUUCUGAUCGGAUUGCAAUUUAUUCAAGCUAGCUUGUGUUCAUCUCGUCAGUUCGAUUAGUUUACCAAGCUGAGGUAGCUCAUAUAUGACUCGAAUUGUUUACAACUCGAAAUUUAAAUCUCAAAUUGAUUAGUUUAGAAAAUUGUCAUUUUUUUGCAUGAAAAUUUUAAAUCUCAACUUUGCGUUUGGAACUUUGUUUCAGUGAAACUUAGACCACCGCGUUUGUCUCUGAGUAUAGGUGUUCAUAGUAUCCUUAACUUUUGAAUUUCGUAAAAUAUUUUAUUUGGAGAUUACAUUCCGAAGGCGAAAUGGUCAGUUUCUUGGAGAUAACUGCACGCGUAGUGCCGAAUUUGGAAACCCAUAAUUUUUUGCUCAAAACUCCGAUUUCAAUGAAACUUGGCUUCAGAUGUUUUGUUUCUGAGUAUACUUGCGUAUAGAACUUUCCUUUUGCGAAAAUUAUGGAAAAAGUCACAUGAAAUGAUGGAUUGAUCACGAGAUGGUCGUUUUUCCGAAUUUUUUCGGUUUUACCGAAAACUUCCAAAUUCCAAAAAAGCAUCAGGAUGACCAUUAAACCUCACAAUAACACUCCAUUUUGUGCUAGGGGCCCUCAAAAGCCGGAGAUUAGUUUUGUUGGAAUUGGCUUGUUUUUUAUUAAACAAAAAGCAAAAUUACAAUUUAGUCCGUUAUUUAUUACAACCAUGGGGUCAGUUUUUGGGAUGUGAUCUAUUUGAUUGCAGAAUUUAUUUUUGGUGAUGGGAUUUAUGGUUAAUUAGUGGUUUUGGGGUUCAUUUGCCAUGAAUAGCAUACGAGCCAGACUGAUCCAGGGCAGGACAGCAGCCUUCACGCUUUGAAAAUUCAUAGGUACUGAAACAUAGAAUGAAGACCAGAGACUUUGGGGAACAGAUCUAAUGUUGAUGAGUUCCAAGAAUGAAUUGAUAAUGUGUAGCACUUUAAUUGAACCAACAAAGAGAAGAGGAUGAAGUUUGUGACUGUCAAAAUGGAGAAUGCUAGUUUUGCUUGGUUACAAGAUCUUUGAGGCUUAGUGUCAGAAAGAAAAAUUUGUAUGUGGUGAAAAUGAAUGUAAGGCUUCGUUUGGGAUUGCGGGGAGAUUGCGUUACGUGCGGUGAGAAACGACGAUGGGAAAAUACCCAGUUUGUUUCCGUACGUAAUAUUGCGUUCCGCAUAUCGCGAUGAGUCGGUUACGAUAUAUUUUCUGCGGUCCCAUCGAAGAACGCAGAAAAUAUCCCUAUAUGCUUUUUUCUCAAUUCCAUUUUAUCUAAUAGUGUUAGAUAGACCUCAAUACCAAACUAAGCCUAAGAUGAAUUGCAAAUAUUUUGCUGCUAGGCUAGCUGUAGCCUCCUAGAGAUUUUCAGUGUUAAUUGAAUAAUAAGUUGGCUAGAUUUUAACUCACUUUGGUUAUGUGUCUUAGACUGAAAAGAUUGUAUGUUACAUCCCUAAAUUUAUGUCCUGUAUCUGAGAUGAUACAAGGUUAUCUGCACUUACAAGUCGAAAGCUAACAUAGAGAUGUCUUUGAAGCAAAAUACUACUAGCGUUAUGAAUGGUUCUGUUUUUAAACGGAAGUUGAACCAAGCCGCUUAAAGUAUUUCAAAAACAAAAAAAAACUGAACUUACAUGAAAGUAGCAUUGUAGUAAAAUCAGACUAACAGAACUUGAUAGAUUGUCUUUCUCAGUUUGGCUUAUCUGUUCCAUGUUUCCAGUAUUGCUUUAUAGUAAAUAUAUGACCCUAUGUUAAAGUUCACAUAGUGUUGUACAGUAUGGUGGUUAGGUUUAGCAGUUUUUAAUGAGAGAAUAAGUUCCUAGUCAUCAGAAAGGUGUGUAUCUGCAACAUAUUAUAAAAACAUAUACACAUUGGUUUGUAUCACGAGCUAGCUGAGCAAAAACUGAAACCAAUUUGAAUCAAAAUGGAUUAUCAUUCUUGGAACCAAAACUAAAACAAUAAUUUUCUUGGAAUUAAACUAAAACCAAGGAUUUAUUUCAUGGUUUGCUGUUUUGCAGGUUAUUUUGCAAAUCUGUAGAUACCACCACCUCCCAAUGCUCAUGCUUCUUGUUGGUUAGGGUCUUGUUACUACGAGUUGGCACUGAAUCAAAUUAUUUAGACGCUUGAAGGAUAUUCUUCUGUUUAUUUUGUACUAGUCAGCUGUACUUUCAUGCAACUUCAUCUUUAGGGCACGUCCAUAUGAGGCUAAAAUUUAAAGCAAAAUUUUUCUAGAGUAAAAUUUCAUUAGGUGAAUGUUACCCUUGUUAUUGUUUGUAAAUUAAAUUUUUUAUUGUACUGUGAACAAGGGGAAAUUUUUAACCUCUUAACAUUUCAUGAAGUUUGGUUUAAUCAAGACUUUGGUGGUAGCUAGUAGAGAUGAAGGUAUUGCCGGUGGUAGUGCUUUGUGUUUGCUGUAGGUGCCAGUGAUGGCCAAAUAUGGGUGAAUAUGCCUGUUGGUGGCGGUAGUGCUGCCAUGGUGGUGUGCUGGUAACAAUUCCUAUUCGUCUUAGUUUGAGAUUAUGGUGGUAGCCGGAUGGUUGUUGCUUGUUGGCAAUGUCUGAUUACUGUAAUUGUGGUGGCGGGCCUAUUAACCAAGAUUGCUUGGGAGUAAUGAUGGUAGCCUGGUAGCUUAUUGUUGCGACCCUAGUGGCUGCCGAUGGUGGCUCGUUUGCUAUUUAUGGUUGAUAGUUGGUUAUGAUAGUUAUAGUCGUCGGCGCUCAUAGAUUCUGUUAGUGGUUGAUCAUCAUUUUUGAUGGGUGUGGCAACUAUAUGUUGGUUGUUGCUUUUGACAGCAAUGGCUAUUAGUGUUUGGUGACUAUGGUCAUUGCGAUAGGUAGUAAUAGCGGUGAUUGGUGAUGUUUGAAAUUUUGCCCUAAGUUGAUGGGAUGGUGUGGGAUGCUGUAUGGUGGUAUAGUCCUUGUGGUUAAGGUUCAUUGGCAGUAUUGCUACUCGUUUGAUGGCGUUUGGGGGUGUUUUAUCAACAGUUGCUAUUACUAACCGCCAGUGGUAUUUUGUGGUCAGUAAAGCCAAACUGUCAUUGAUAAUGUUAGUGAUGGUCAAUUUUGGUGAAGGUGGCUAUUAGGUUGCAUAAUUUUCACAUACGCAUUCGAAUUUGCUCGUAGUCCUUUUAGUUAACCUUGACUCUCGUCAGAGAAAAGAAAAUACAAUGCUUCUUGUGGUUAAAACAUAACUAGUCCUCGAAGUUUCCCUAGAGGCGCAGAAGUCCUUUGGUUUUUUAGAAAAUCAAUUAUUAUGAUGUGAAAGAAUUUUCUGAUCUUUGAUGUUAAAGAGGCUACACAAAUAUACACACAAAGGGAUCAAAAAGAGAGAGAGAGAGAGAGAGAGAGAGAGAGAGAGAGAGCCUCACUAAAACAAACUGUUAGGGCAUGUUUGGUUCAUGAUUGGAACAUGAAUGUGGAAUGGAAUUGGAUUCCUUUGGAAUGCUUUGGAAUGGAAAAUGGAAUGACGAAUCAUCCAAAAAUAUUUGGUUCAUUAUUGGAAUGGAAAUCGAAAUGAGAAUUUAGAAUUUUUGAGUGAUGAUUUUGAUUAAGAGAGAGGAAAGUGAUGAAGCGAGAGGAGGUAAGUGUUAUGAAAGAGGAUUUUAAAUAGUUUAGGAAAAACUUCAAAUACCACCCUAUGGUUUCGCACUUUUUCACUUUAGUAUUGUGGUUGAAAGUGUAUCACUUUCGUACCCUGUGGUUUAUUUUUCUCUUUUUGUUAUCCCCUUCACUAUUUUUUUUCGUUAAAAUAGUGACAAAGUUAAAAUUAAAGGGUACUAAAAUGAAUAUUCGAUAAACUAUAGGUGGGGUAUUUGAAGUUUUUUGUAUAUGAUUUAAUGAAAAGUUAAUGGAGGGGCUGACGAAAAUAGAAAAAUGAAACCAUGGGUACUAAAUUGAUACACUUUAGAGCAUAGGGUACUAAAGUGAGAAAGCGCGAAACCAUAGGAAUGGUAUUUGAAGUUUACCGCAUAGUUUACUUUGGAAUGAGCCAAUUUGAGAUUCAAAGCCGGAUUGGGCUAUAAAAGGAUUUGGCUAUUCCAAUUCCGGAGUGGAAUGUGAAUCGAAAUCCGAUUCCUAUGAAACAAACGACAAUUAUUGAAAUUAAUGAAUUAUAUUUCGAUUCCAUAGUCUAAAAUAGGUGAAUCAAACAUGCCCUUAGUGUAAGAUAAUUCAGUAUGUGUGGUUUGGGCCAAAAUUGCUUGUGAUAGUUGUAUAGAGUAAGUAGCAUUUUCUGAAAGUUUAAAAUCCAGGUAUAAGCUGAUCGUUCACAUGCCUCAUACUCUUUAGACCCUUGCAAAUUUAGUUGCUUAGAAGCUUUCCCUUCUGUGACAAGUUCAAGUUUUUUAUUUAACAAAUUUUGCGUUGAAUGACUUUGUGUAAACUCAAGCAGAGGCUCUAUAAACGUACCUUGUUGAAUUUGCCGUGUGUAUGAGAUGCAUUGCUCAAAGUUGUAAGAACUCUGAACCCUUUCCAUAUAUAUUGGUUGUGCAAUCUAAGUUGCUCAUAUUAAUGCGACUUCACACAUUCAAAUUUAGUUCCACACCAAAAUUCAUCUCUAGUGCCUCUUUUCUUGCUGCAGGAUUUUGAAUGGAAUUACAUAUUGCUGUGGCGAUUGUUUGUUCAUGAGCCAGCAUCUGAUUUGCAGGUCUUAUUGACAGCUGCUCUUUCUUUACCAACUCAUGCGAGUUUUGUAGGUCUUCUGGAUUUGUUGAGUGCAUUACUUCUUUUUCUUAUUGAUUGCAGACAUCUCAAUUCACAGAUAUACUCGAUCACAUUUCAUCAAUUUGUACAAACAUAGUUCGAGGAUCCAACUAUUUAUUAGAACUAAUGAAUUUGAAGCUUGAAUUCCUCUAUUGUGAUUACCAAGAUGAAAGAGAUUUAAAAACACAUACUCUCAUGAUGGGACACAUUCUGAAUGAACAUCAGACUAAGGCGAUCACUUCAAUUGGAACUGUCAAAGGUAGAAAUUCGGUUCAUCUGGAUUAGUUGUACAGCCCAACCGAAGAUUUAAUUAUGAUUAGCAAUUAAGGUGAUUUUUUUUAAUUUUUAAUUUUAAUUUUUUUUGGCAUUUAGUGUUGAUGUGCUGUUACUACAUUGUAUCCAUGUUUGACUACUUACUAAUUCCACCAAGAGCUCAAUAGCUAACAUUAGCAAACAAAAUAAGACAGGCAAUUUAUUGAUAAAAGAGUGAGAGCAUACUAUCAGAUACUACAAUUGUUUCGAUACAUAGUUGUCUUUUGGGUCUGUAUAUAACUUUGUAUGUUUUUGGGAUUUACAUUCCACAAAAUACUCUCCUUAUAUUCAAAUGACCUCUUUAACUUUUUUAGCAUAUUAAAGCGCAAGAAGAUCGGUAUAAUACUUUCCAAGUCAACUGUAUUUGGCCCUGGACAACAAUUUAUGCUGGUUCUUUUCCUUCAUUAUCUUAUCCGUGUUUAAGAUUUAUCUUUUACAUUUUAUACUAAUCAAUUAUCCCUAGUUUGGAUGUUGUGCUUGGUUUUGACACCCUUAUUUCUAGGGUGAACUUCAAACGACCAUUUUGUAGUUAAGAGCUUUUUUACUCUGUCGCUACGUAGUUUCCAUCAUCCAUUUUUCAUACUUGGUGGUUUUAUAUUUAUUCACCUUAUGCAUGUAAUAUAAACAGGGUAGGAAAGUGUUAUGCUCAUCACGGACCACACGGUGGUAAAGUGUAAAUUAUAGGCUAUUAAUAUUGUAUUGGAUUAAAUUUCGUAGGUCCUUGUGAAAAUUUCGAAUAGUAAACAAAUUUCUACAAAGUUUAAGUCGUCAAUUUUAUUCCUUCAAAAAGUUCAAACAGUUUCAAAACUUGGUUUAAGGGAUAAAUUUGUUAAAUAAUAUGAAACAACAGUUUAAUAUUUAUACCAACAUAUGUUUUUAAUAUUUGUAUUCAACACUCUUCGUUACGUUUGGACUUGGGACACUGUACAUCUAAACUCUAGACAUUUUGAUAGACUUAAGGUGUAAAUUUGAAUUAAAUAGAAAGAAAUUAAUAUUUAUAUUUAACAGGAGUUUUUAAUAUUUAUAUUCCACACUCUCCCUUGUGUAUGGACUUGUUACAUAUCGCUCCUAAACUCGAAACAUUUUGAUAGAUUUAAGACUUGGAUUUGAAUUAAAUAUAAUGAAACUAAUAAUACUAAGAGUUUGUCGUGACUCGAACUUAAGACAUUCUAUUUUGAUACAAUGUCAAAUAAUAUGAAAAUACUAUUUAUCUCCAAAAGUUUAAGUUACCAAAAGAAAAGUAUUUUUGAUAUUUACAUUCAACAAUUGUAUUUAAACCCUCCAAACAUUUGUAUUUGCAAUUGGUGCAAUAUCAAGUUUCGUUGUGUUGAGUAUCGGUAUCGAACAUUAGUAUUGGUACAUUUACCCCGUGUACUAGUACUCAAGAGCAGUUUCGCAAAAUUUGAAUCCUGAAAUCAACCACUCACUAUAGUCUACUGGCACUCCCAAUCUUCAGUACUGAUACUCUCAACUUCAGUACCGGUGCUCAGUGAAGUUCUACAAAAUCUAAGAGUUUUUCCAACUAAUUGAUAGCUGAGUACAACUAUCCCAAAUUUCCAUACUAGUAUUAACAACAAAACUGCAGUUGGUCGAUUUUGCUUUCAUGAGUUCACUUUCGUGCCGUUUUCAUGCUGAUAACACUCUAAGACUCAAACACAACUAGAACAAUUAAAAUAAUAUUAAAUACUAUUUUUUACUGGAACUCCGCUGUUUAAAAAAGUUUAGUGCGUUGCAUUUGUAUCUUGAAGAAAAAGGAGUAAUAAUAAAAGCCAUAGACUAAUAUUUCUCAGAAUUUGCACAGACUGCUAUCUUAAACAUGAUUUGUGCAUUUCUAUUGGCGCUUUUUGGUGUUUCCUAUGUAAAACCCUUCUUAAAAAAGUAGGGAUAGUAUCUAAUAAACACUUUAAAACUUUAAGAUGGUGGAGAAAGAAGAACUUUUAAAGAGUUUGAGCCCUACAAAAAUGGAGAUGCCUACCUGCUUGGAUUUCAAGCCCACGUCAAUUUCUGUUGACCCAGUUUUUACACGAUUGUAUUGUUAGGGCCUGUUUGGCCUAGCUUCUGAAAAAGUGAUUUUAGUUUGGAAAAAUAAUUUUAGUAAAAAGCUGUACAGCGUUUGACAGAGUUUAGAUAAAAGUGAUUUAUUUGAAGUGAUUUCAAAAAGCUGUUUGGCAAACUUUUUUUGAUGUUUGCAUAAAUUAAUAUUUUUAUUAAAUUUUAUUUUAAAAUAAUUUAAAAUCUAAAUUUAAAUUUGAAUUAAAAUUAAAAUUUUUAAAUUUCAAAAUUGUACAAAAUUUAAAAUUUGAUAUUUUAAUUUAAAAAAUAAUUUAAAAUUUUAAAAAUUUAAAAUUAUCAUGAAUUAAAAUUAAAAAUAUAAAUAUAAAUUUAAAAAUAUAUAUAAUUAUGAAUUUUAAAUAUAAAUUUAAUAUAUAAAAAUAAAAAUUUAAAAUAAAAUUUCAAACUUUAAAUUAGAAUUUAAAUUUUAAAAUUUAAAUCUAAAUUUAAAAUUUAAAAUUAAAUGUAAAAAUAUAAAUAAUUAGAAAUAUAAAUAUAAAAAUUAGUAUUUAAAAUAUAUUUAAAUUUUAAUUUAAAUAAUUAAAAUUAAAUUAAAAAUUAAAAUUUAAAAUUAAAAUUAAAAUUUAAAAUAAUUAUGAAAUUUAAAAUUUAAAAUUAAAAUUGAAUAUUUAAAAUUUAAAUUUAAAAUUUGAACAUUUUAAAAAUUUAAAAUUUAAAAUUUAAAAUUUGAAUAUUUAAAAUUUAAAAUUAAAAUUUAAAAUUUAAAAUUAAAAUUUAAUAUUUAAAUUUAAAAUUUUAAAAAUUUGACAUUUAAAUUUAAAUUUUAAAAUUUGCGAAUUUAAAUUUUAAAAAUUUGAAAUUUAUAAUUUGAAGAUUAAAAAUUAUAAUUUGAAAUUUGAAAUUUAAAAGUUAAAAUUAAAUUAAAAUUAAAAUUCGAAAUUUAAAAUUUGAAAUUUGAAAUUUGAAAUUUGAAUCUGAAAAUUAAAAAUUAAAAUUAAAUUUAAAUUUAAAUAUUGAAAUUAAAAUAAAAAUAAAAAUUUGAAGUUUUAAUUCAAAAUCAGAAUCAGAUUUCAAGAAGCAGUUUUUUUCUGUUUCUGAUUCUGGGGUCUUCAAAAGCAAUUUUCUGAUUCUAAAAAGCAGAAUCAGAUUUUAAAAGUGAGUUGCCAAACGCUCUAUUGAGCCGAAAAUCACUUUUCAGCCCAAAAGCACUUAGGCAAAACACGCUCUUAGUUUGUUACAGGGAUGUCAACGUGCCCGAUUCAGGGCGGAUUUUAAAAAUACGAACCUGUACUCGAACCCGACUUCAAGCCCGAAAUCUGAACCCGAACCCAAACCUGAACCCGAACCCGACGGAUUUUAAAAAUCCAUAUCCAAAUCCGAAUCCGAUAAAAAACCAAAAACCCGAACCCGAAACGAAACCCGAAAAUCCGAACCUGAAAUAAUUAUUUCUCUUUUCAAUAUUUCAAAAUAUAUUAUAUUAAAUUUAAAAUUUCAAAAUACGAAGUCAAAUAUAAUAUCAAAUUUUCAUAUACAUAUUAUAUAUAAUAUAAAAUAAAUUCCGGUUCGGAUCGAAUUUGGGUCGGGUUCGGAUUCGGGUUGGGUAUAGUCAAAAUCUAUAUCCAUAUCCAUAUCCGUCGGAUUUUUAUUUUUGAUAUCCAUAUCUGAAACCAUAUCUAUUUAACAUCAGAUAAAUUAGUUGCAUUCGAAUUGAGAUUCGGAUAAAAUUUCGGGGUAUCCGUAGCCAUUGAAAUCCCUAGUUUGUUACCAUGUACGAGUUAAAGCAUGCACUGCUGCCUCCGUCUCCCUAUGCUUUCCCUGUAUUUUAUUUAUUUUUUCUUUUUUCGGUUUUUAGUUUUUCACUUUUGUUGCCUUUUUCACAAAAAUCAAAUAUUUCUCUUUCCCAUUAUAUUUUACCACUUUUACUACCUUCCUAAGUUUGGUCUAUCUUAUUUUAUUUUAUAUUUUGACUCGCAAAUAGCAUGCCAUCUAUUUGGUUUAUAUUUUAAGGUUGCAAUUGAUUUCGGUAUAAAAAUUACUUAUUUCAGAGAAAGGUACAAGUUCAGAUAUAAGCAAGAAUUAGAUUAAUUUGCAUUUAGAGCAAAAUCCGGUUAUUCCUGAAAAUAAGCUAAAUAGUGUUUAUAUGGUUAGGCUUAGUUUGGUAUUGAAGCCUAUCUAAUGCUAUUAGAUAAAAUUGAGUUGAGGAAAAAGCAUAUAGUGAUAUGCUUCUACGUUCUCAAGUGGGACUGCAGAAAAUAUAUCGUCUCAUCGUGAUAUGCGGAACGUAAUAUUACGUAUGAAAAUAAACAUGAUAUUUUUCAAACGUACUUUCUCACCGCAUGUAACGCAAUUUUCCUGCAAUUUCAAACAAUGCCUUAGAUUGGAACAUGAGGAAUAAGACUUACAAAUUUAAAUUAAAAAUAUUUUAUCUAAUUAAUUAACAUUAAAAUAUUAAUUAAAAAAAUUUAUAAAUUAAUAACUUUAUUAAACAAAUAUUGUAUAAGAUAAUGAACAUAUAUAUUAAUUAAUUAAUUAAUUAAUUAUAAAAAAUAAUUUAAUUUUUUAAUUAGUUAGUAAAUUAUUUUAAUUUGAUAACUAAUAAAAAAUUAACUACAUUAAUAAAAAUUUUAAUGGUUGAUCAAUAUAAAUAUUAUUUUAUGGAUAAAUACAUUAAAUUAUUAAUAAUUUAUUAACUAAUUAUUUAUAAGUAAUAAAUUAAUUAAUUAUUUAUUAUUUAAGUAAUGGAUAAUGAUUUAAAUAUAUUAGUUAGAUUAAUUAAUGAUUUAAUACCAUAAUUAAAAUUAAAUUUAGAUAUUAAUUAACCUUAUUCCCAUUUGAGAACAAGCUUGUUUCAAGAAAACGGAUGGAAAAGCAGUUCCAGGCUUAUACCGGAUUGUACCAGCUUAUUACAAGGAUCCAAUAACUACUGUUCCCGAAUACGAAAAUUUACAUUUGGGAACAAAAAGGAAAAGAAGGGUUUAUUCCUCUCUUGUUCCCAAACCAAACACUGCCUAAAUGAAUGAACUUCGCAAAAAAUGUAAAAUAACUAGACUUCAAAUGUACAUGGGAUUUCGGAUACCAACCAUAAAGCCCUUUGGGAUAUUGCGUACCUAAAAUUCUCUUCUAUUAUUAUCUCACUUUAUAAUAUUUAAAUUAUUUUUAGGAAAAACUUCAAAUACCACCCAUGUGGUUUGGUGCUUUUUUAUUUUACUACCUUGUGGUUUAAAGUGCAUCAUUUUGAUAUCAUGUGGUUUUGUUUUUCUUUUUUUUAUCCUCUUCGUUAAUUUUUUUGUUAAAUUAGUGAAAAAAGUUAAAACCAUAUAGUACUAAAGUGAAAAUUCGGUAAAUCAUAGGAUACUAAAGUAAAUAUUUGAUAAACUAUAGGGUAUGUAUCUGAAGUUUUCUCUAUAAGUUUUAAUGAAGAGUUAUGCUAACGGAAAGAGAAAAAUAAAAUCGCAAGAUAUUAAAGUGAUACACUUUAAAACCAAAUCAGAUCGAAACAAAAUCCCAAAAAGAAGGAAAUCUGAGUUGCAGACUUUUUGGAUGCAUAGAACAGGAUUCGGGCACCUGAAAUGAUUUCAAAUGGCCUAGUAGAGCACCUGGAACUAACGGAUGCACUUCCAGAGAGUAAAGUUGCGAGGAGGCCAACUUUCAUGCGUCCGAAUUUUCUUAUGGGCGCUCGGAUCUUUUCAGAUCCUACUUGAGGGUGUCUGGAAGUGUCACGCCUUGGGGUCACUUUUUUGGAUUUAAAAGCCGAUGCAAAAGUGCCUUUUUUUCUUUUCUUUUUUUUAAAUCUUGACCCCCGAGUAUGUCAGAUCCGUCACAAAUAUAAUGAAUCCACUGUUCACACGGAUAGAGUCCUCCCUGUAUUUGCACGGCGUCGCACAAGUACAAGAUACAACCACAUAGUAUGAACAUCCAUAUACAAUCACCAUUCACAUUCACCAUUCAUUUCAUCACAGAUAAUCAUAAAUUCACAUCUAUUAGUUUAAAACGUUUCCCACCCAAAAACUUAUUUUAAAACAUUAAGAAUCACGAAAACCAGAAAAUUCUUUUUAAAACCGUUUUCCACACGGAAAGCUUUUCUUUUAAAACACGCUACUACGAGGGGUAGAAAACCGUUUUCAUCUCAUAAGAAAAAUCAUAAGUACUUUAUUACAUUCAAAAACCACAUGAAUUCAAAUAAAGUAAACCAACUUAACCAUAAAUACUAAGUCAAUUACUUUGAGAAAGACAGGUUAAGAAUUAAACUAAAUCAACGGGUUGGUAGCUCUAUCGAUCGCUAAAAUACGCUCCUCACACACUGUCCCGACUCGAACCCGCGACGUCACCUGAAAGGAGGGUCGGGGGUGAGAACAUGUAUAUAUAUCUCCCCUCCUAGUAGGUACCGCAAGCCGACGAGGACGAGGGAUACUCACCAGUCAAGGAGGAUAACUACAAGUAUAGAUAAUGGUAAUACAGUAGCAAUGAUAAAAAGGAACGAGAUAUAUAUAUGAAUCACUACUGCUACUAUAUGCAUGAAUCAACUGGACGAUAAGUCCAAAAGUACCUAAUCAGAAACCUAUCAUGUUGGUCCGCAGACUUUAGGCCUGUGCCACUGCCAAUCUACCUGCAUAUAACCCAGCCUAGGCCUCCGGGCUCACGGGUUGGUAUGUGUAAUAUUUAAAAUUUGAUCAAUGAAGGAAAUUCGGAUUUGAAAAUUUGAAAUUCAAAUAUAUAUAUAUAUAUAUAUAUAUAUAUAUAUAUAUAAUGUGUUCGUGGGUGUGUGUGUGUGUGUGUGUGUGUGUGUGUGGUUAUAGUGUGGAUCGCGGAGAGGGUUGGUUUUGUCGCAAAUUGGCAACCAAAUCGGACGAAACAAGAUUGUAGAUUUGAUGCCCCAGUCGUACUGAACGCGCCGGUGCGAUAUGAUCGAAAAUCUGACGAACAGAUCUCAGGAAAUCGCGAAAUGUUCGCUGAGGGGUCGAAAUUGGCAAAACGAAAAAUUUGCGAAAAGCCCACAUUUUAUGUACAGUUUUGCGUGAUUUCGAAUGUCGAGGUUCGUAUGCGCAAAACGCUCGUGCUGUGAGGGACUUGGCCAGAAAUAUGCAGCUUUGGAGGACUAAACUGCAUUUUGGCCAACCUGUAUAAAAGCUAGUAUUAGGGUUUUCAAGAAAACCCUAACCCUAGCUGCCUCUACUUCCUUUAGCUGCACCCCCUGUAGCCUCCACCACUUCCCAGCACCUCACCACGCGCACCUCGGCCGUCGAAAAAGGGCAGCAUUGUCUCCCUCGACCUUCACUCCACUCCUCGGGACUCCCCUCCCUGGCUGAGACCCGACCUCCGGCGCCGUCCCCGCCGGCCCCACCGUUCGCGUCUACCGCCGGCGCCGCCUGAGCCAUCCGUGGCCACUUGUGGGUAGCUUGGGCCGAGCUUGAGCCAGCUCCUGGCGACGAGCUGCCGCUGCCUCGUGGUCGGCCGCGCCGCCCUCCUGGGCCUCCGGCCCGCAGCGUCUCCACGCAUCGCCACCGCCCACCGUCAGCCGCGUUGCCCUCCCUCGGCCUCCGGCGAUUAGUCGUCGUUGCCCCGGCGCUCCCCCGGCCGCCGCCUGGAAGCCGUUGCACCUUGAACCCGAGUCGAGGCCGCACGGGCUCGUGCAGCUCCACCGCGCCACCGGCCGCCUCCUGCCGCCGACCAGCGCAUGCCCAGGCCGAUCCCCUCAUCCUGUCGGCGCAAAGCCUCGGCUUGAAGUAGCGCUACGCUCGACUGUCGCUCCACCACGCCAACUAAAGUGGCCAACUGCUCUCUCAACUCCCGAAUCUCGCCGGAUCGGAGGGAUGCAGGCUUCUCCGGCUUGGUCGCCUCGGCUGCCGUAGAGUGUAUCGUCGACAUCACAAGCUGCAACAAACAUAACAAGCACAGGUUAAAACAACCCAUGCUAUCGCAGCCCCACUCAUAACUACAAUAUCCCAAUCAUGCGAAAGUAAUGAAGUGACCUCUCACUAUUCCUCGAGAUCAUGUUAUCAGCUGCCAACAUUAUCUUACAAGGACAUAGAUGUUAUCCAAUUCGAUCCAACUCCAACACCUUUGGAGUUACAAAUAUGACCCAAUCAUAAUACUUUCGCCGACAAAUGGUCCCAAAAUACUCCGUCUCUCACGUUCCUAUUCCUUAUCGUCCAACCGUCCAAAGGUUUGCUAGGUCCUCUAAGACUCUACCCUAGGCUCUGAUACCACUAUAAUUUGUCACGCUCCGGCCAAGCGGAAGCCCACCUGAACGCGUGCACAGACCCGCCGUGUACACCAAACAACCACGAUGCACACAAGACGUCUACUAAAUAAGAACGAAUAAGAACAAGUCCUAACAAGGCUAUCAGAGCGAGUAAUAUAAAAUGACUAAUGUUCUAACACAAAGAGAUCCACAAAAUAUACAAAAUAUAUACAACUAAAUCCAAAAGCCUAACAAUAUCUCUAAAUCAAAUACAUAAUACAUCUUUCUACAAGAUAGAAAAAGAAAGAUGACAUCGGGUCCCUCUAAAUAUCUCCGUAGGGACUUUAGCUAGUCGUUAACCCCUUGCCACGAUCCCUAGCAUCUCCCACCGCGGAAGGGUCUGAAACAAAAACAAUCAACAAAUGGGGGUGAGAACUAUUAAACAAUAGUUCUCAGUGGGUAAGCCGUCGAGAGUGGCGAAAUACACUACUAGGUCAACUGAGGCAUGCUAUAAAGGGGGAAGUAAACAAUAUAUAUGAAUGACAAGUAAAUAAACAUAUUCAUUUCAUAGUUAUGCCUCCACUAAAGGAUUUACUAUCAAGUACAUGAUAUUCUAAUUUCAUUUAUUUAACUAAGUGCCAAUGUCCAUUUACAUGCACAUUCAACUAUAUGCCGAUGUUAGUUUACAUGCAUGUUCAUUAUGUCCAUAAUGCUACAAAGAGUAAAGUAUGCUUUUCUUUGCUAUUCUAGCCAUGUAUUUAUACCAAUCCACAUAGGUGUAGGUUUACUACCACUAAGGUGGUCAAUGUCAUAAUAUCCCAAAAGCGUCCAACUACUAUGAAUGCAUCAAGUAGUAAAAUAAGGUAGCAAACCACAAGUAUGAACAUCUACUAUGUAUGCAUCAACUACGGUGAUGUACAAUGUCAAAUUAAGUCUCAAUACCCAAUUUACAUGGAACGUACACGUGGUAACGUCCCGGCUCGUGCCGUGCCUUAGUAGCCCCGUGGGGGUCAUCAUUUUCUCCGCAAGAAAAGAGACUCCGCCCACGGCAUCCCACUUCGGUGCCCAAUCCCGCACGAGCGAUCUAUCGUUACAAGGCUAAACUCCGGAGUGCCGGCUUGUAGGGAGCGACCCUCACAAGCAUGUGCGAAUAAGCACAAGGGCAAGCAAGCGUGAUCAUAACAUAGGGUCCACAAUUUGGAAUACUCAAUCAUCAUGUCUAAAACAUGAAAAUUUUCACACAUCGCCUCGACGGUCGGGUACUAGAUCAUUCAUGUCAUGUCAUGUCUUGUUCACAACUACUUGGGUGGUAUGUCCCUACCAACACAUAUAAUGCCUAAAGCAUGCAUAGUUCAUAUGACAAUAUCCUAUCUAGGAUAGUUCACUAUUUUAUCCAAGACUCCAAAGAGAUUCGUAACAUGCAAUUUUAAUAAUUGUUAAGAAGCAUUUACUAAUGCCAUAUGCAAGAGGAUUAUGAAGUGUCCACAAAUACCACAAUGCAUGUCAUGCAUAUGUCUUUCCACUAACAUCCCCACUACAUAGAGUAGAAGCAUUAUGAUGCAAAUGAUUAAUUCCACUAGUAUUACAUGAAAUCAUCUCUAUUAGGGUUCGCACCAAAGGCUUUAUACUCUCUUUCCCUCAUGUCUAAAACAUGGAAUAUAGCUAUCGAACCCUAGAUCGAAUGUAAUGUCAUAAUGGCAAAUACUAGUUGUUCUACUAGGUUAAAUGCACCAAGUUACCAUGUCACAUGUUAAGUUCUAGUUGUUCAACUAGGUUGAAUGCACCAAGUUUAGCUUCAUGAUGACCUUAUCAUGCACUAUGUUACAAUGUUCCAAUUACCUUGUCUACAACAAGUAUAAUAUUAUCAUGCAAGUAAUGCUAAGUUCCAUUCAUCUUGUCUAUAACAAGUGUAGUAUUGUCAUCAUGUAAGUUAACUACUUAUUUAACCCAUUCACUAGGUACCCCUUAAGAGUUAUACCAUCAUUCAUACUCUAACAUGCUUUCUAUGGUUGCAUAAGAGAGAAAUCAUCAAGUAGUGCUAGUUCAUGUACAAGUCCACAUAUAUGUCUCUACUACAUAGAGCAUUAAAUUUACUAUACAUAACAUGUAUGUUUUAUAUUUUCAUAAAUUCUAGCAUGUCAUAUUGAGCAUAAAUAAGCAUUUAAAUAUGUCUUAAAACCAUAAGGAAGACAUAGGGGGAGUUCACCCAUUUCGGUGAGGUCAAACCCACCGGAUGUUCUUCGAACCCUUUAGUUCCUUCGAACGAAGUUGUCCACCAAGCUCCUAGCACCCUAAAAGAAUUUCUAAGAGGGUUAGGGGUAAUGAACGAAUACCCCGCAAGCUCAACUUUAACAAACCCAAGAAUAGGUAGAAAAUUACCUUUGAUCAAGCUACACUUGUCCAAAGCUCAAAUCAACCCAAAGGAUCUUCAAAUCCAACCUAAAGGAGAGUUCUACACUCAUCAAUUAGAUUCCAAAAGCCUCAAAUCAAAAACCCCCAAAUAAAACCCUAAAUUUCUCAUUCUAGAUUUUCAUCACAAAACUCCACAAUAAACAUGAUCUAAAGAGAAGAUCAAGGUUACUAACCUCUCUUGAAGCUCCAAACCAAGCUAGGAGUGAGCUAGGGUUAGAAAUCUUUUCUCAAAGAAGCUCCAAUCCAAGCUCCAAGGCUUCUCCAAUGGUAGAAACCCAACAUGAAGCAAAAAGGGCAAAGAGAGAAGAUCAAACCAAGCUAAAUCCAUAAGAAAAGAGAGAAAAUCAAGAGAGAAGAGCUCUCACCUUGGUCUCCACGGUUUAGGGCUCAAAAGAGCUCUCAUGGCUGAGGGGGAGAGAUAUAUAGAGUUGUGACAAACUCAAAAAGACCCCUCAACAACGUGCAGUUUGCAUCUGCACUGCAUACCAGUGACACCGGCUGGAGUACCAGUACCAGGCAGCAGCACGCGCAAACCCGAGCCUCGGGUAAGCGAGAAAAUACACUACGUACCGAUACUCUCGUGAUGUAGUACCGGUACCAACUCCAGUACCGGUACUCGGGCAAUGCAGUACCGGUACUCUGCCUCGCAGAGCUCAACCUGAGAGCAGCCCAAAUCCUACAUUUUAGAGGUUUUGGUGCUAAGUUUCCAUCAUCGCUCUAGGGAUGCGAGUCAUAGGUUGGAACACAGUCAACGACCUUCCAGAAAACCCAGAAAAGCUUAGAACACUAAUUAAACACUCAAACCUUGCAAUUUGCUAAAGUUCAGUGUGUUACAUUCUCCCCUCCUAAAAAGGAGUUUCUGUAAGAAUUUAUCCGGCACAAAAAAUCGCAGCGGAAAAUAAAUAUCGUGUUUUCGAAAAACAAAAAUCCAUAUCACAUAUGAACCAAAAUAAAACAAAUCAAUCCAGUGCCGGUGGAUCAUUCUCAUGUUGCAAUGUAAAAUAAAAACUAACCUAAACAGAUUUAAAGUUCAGGUUACAUUACCUCGGACCAGUUAAGGUCUCUUGAUCUACUGUAUUAACUGGUUACUUGAUCUACUGUACGGUUGAAACUGAAAUUUCGAUCAGCCGCACACGUGCCCGGCCUCUACGCGUAUCCACACGGAAUUGAUCCAGAUCCAAUGCUUUCCGUCGCACGGAAUAGAUUAGUCGCGAAUUACAAAGACGGUGCUAGCAGUCUCGUGAUAUCCACGUUCGCCUUUUGUGAGAUGUACUGAUUUUUUUUUUGGAAAAAUUAGAGAGAGAUGGAUGAUCUAAUAUUUCUCAAGAGGCUAUUAUUAAAUUCCUCUCGUAAAAGGAUGUUAUAACAUGUUCACAUAGCCGUGCAUUAAUAAUUGAUUAAGCCACGCCUAGCCGUACAAUCGACAUCCUCAAUAUUCUGUUGCAACUAAUUUGGAUCACAUCCAAUUAGUUGCAUAAAUUGUUGCAUGCAUUCUGGUAUAACUAAUUUGGAUCAUAUCCAAUUAGUUACAUGCAUUCUAAUGUAACCAAUUUUGAUCAUAUCCAAUUAGUUCCCAUAGAUAAGUAAAACAAAUUUAUACUUAUCCUCAUGGCUUUUUAUCUUUGUCUCUCUCCUUUAAUUUAAUUGGAUCUUAUCCCAUUAAUAAUUCAUAUUAAUAUCAUUUAAUAUCAUACUCAAAUAAUAUCUAUGAAUAAUUAAUUAUUCUCUAAUCUAAAUUAGAAGACUUAAAUCAAAAUUAUACCAUUCUCCAACAUUUUCACUCAAAUAUUUUAUGUAUUAAUUAGACUCAUCUUAUCAAAUUGGAUUCACCACGAAUUCCUAUUGUGUGUGCAGCAAAGUCAUUAUCCAUUCGAGUAGGUUCAAAUAUCAAAUCUCUUACUAUAUUGAAUUAGAAUUUUACUAAAAUAUUAUUUGAAUAUACAUUUUUACUUCUCUCAUUGUCCUGGUGACACCUAGCAGUAUACACGGCAUUCCAAAUGAUGAUGACUGACAAAACGAACCUUUCCACUAACAGUUACUAUGUGAUUAAUUCCUUCCAACAUACAACGCCCCGAUCGAACUAAAAUUAUGGUUACUCGCCAAAUCUUAUUAUUCGAUCAUAUGACUAGAAUAUCUAAAACUGACUCAAUAUGGUAACACAGCUGGAAACUCUUUCCACACACCACGUACCUUGGCCAAGAAUUUUUCGAGUCAAGUUCGAUAGUCUAUAUAGGACGUUCUCUCUCACUAUUGAGAGUGUUGAAUUCCUUAUUGCGCAUUCACAUGCCUCCCUAUAUAAACUACUACAGCCAAUCAGUACUAGACAUAGACCAAUGAUUAGAGUCUAAGUAUUAGUACAGUUAAACAGUAGCAAUCUACAUGUGAAGCAACCAUGAUGCCUCAGGUCUAAGGAGUACUUCACACAACUGUAGCAAAGAACUAGUCACUGGAGAAUUCGGAACCAUGUGACUGUUCAACUAAAUGGUCACGCUCAGUGUACUUGUUCGCUAACAAACACCUGCAUGCUUACUUUACUGUCCCUACACUAAUGACUUGAGAUUCGUCACCUCAACUUAGAAGUAUAGCAUACACCGCCCUAUCCGGAAAUAUCAUCGUCCUUAUGAAAUUCCUAUGGCUAGGAGCAUUUAAGAAUCUUGUACAAAGAAAUAUAUAUCUCAAAUUCCUAACUCUUAGGAAUAUAUUUUCUUAACGAAGAUUCAAUGGACGAUUCAUAUAAAUGUAUUCUAUUGCUAACAAUAAAUAUGAAUAAAACUUGCCCUUUAUUAAUUAAGAAAAAUACUUAAUAUGUUCACAAGCCUGUGUCACCGAUUGGCUUUAGGGUAUAUCACUAACAGUUUCGUCCGCGAAACUACAAAUCAACAACAUUAGAGAUCCAUCCGAAAAGGAUGGGAAAAGCGCUCCAACAGCGCACAGAACAGAUUCCAAAGGCCUCGAGAUGCUGGAUUGCUCCAAAGCAUCUUCACACCAAGAAUCCCGCAGCUCCAAAGACUCAGCAUAACGCAAGCCAAACUUCCACAUCUGUUCCUCGAACUCAAGUCCUCAUAGGGAAGUGCCAUCUUUAAUCGGUGCUCGUUUAACAAGCUCUUUAGUUGAUCCACAUGAAGCCAAUCGCCCCCAACAUGGUGUUUGAGUAAAAAAAAAAAAAUGAUAAUAAUAAUAAUAACAAAAAAGAGAGGGAAAGAUGUAAGAUUAAAAAAAAAAUAUAUCCCACUUCCCCUUUUGAAAAAAAAAAAAGGGAAAGAAGAGAUCGAAAGAAAAAAAAAGGUAAAAAAAAAAAUUUCAUACCUUGUGUGAAAGUAUCAUUCCAUUUUUUUAAUAUUUUUGAAUAACUUACAAAAAUAAGUAAAGGCCAUUAGAAGCUUAUUAUAAAGCUCCCAAAAAAAAAGAGAGCGGGGAUCCGGAGGGAGAGAACCGAAAACAAAAAAAGAAGAAAGAUAGAAGAAGAAGAGAAAAAAAAAAAAAAAGGUGAAAAAAAAAAAGUUUCUUUUACAUACUCUCUCUCUCUCUCUUUCUUUCUCUCUCUCUCGCGUAUAGGCACCAAAGGGGGAGGUAGCCCUUUUUUUGGGCUGGCUGACAGAGGAGGGGUGCCAUGUGCACCCCAUCCUUUGUCCGUACAACAGAAAAAAAAGGGGAACUUCCGUUCUUAUUCGGCGACAACGGCAACAAUAAUCACGACGACUUCUACGACAGCAGGAGACAUGCAUGCAUACGCGUAGCCUAAGUGCGUAUUUUUUGUCAAUUUGAUCAACCCGACCAUCUUUGUGAUAGGUUUCGAACCGAUCGAAUUUGACAUUAAAUCGCAGCUUCCGUCGCGCGUAUGCAUCACUAAUCCCUAAACCGUACUUUUUUUUUUGUCUAUUUGAUCAACCCGACCAUCUUCGUGAUAGGUUUCGAACCGAUCAAAUUUGACAUUAAAUCGUAGCUUCCGUCGUAUGCAUCGCUAAUCUCUAACCGUGCGGCCAUCUUCGUGAUAGGCUCGACAUGGUCAAAAUGACUGAUCGAAUCGGAUGUUUCAUUACGUAAACCGUGCGGCCAUCUUUGUGAUAGGCUCGACAUGGUUAAAAUGGGUGAUCGAGCAUCAUUAAUGUUGUUACGAAAACUGUGCGGCCAUCUUCGUGAUAGGCUCGACAUAGUUGAAAGCGUAAACCGUGCGGCCAUCUUCGUGAUAGGCUCGACAUGGUCGAAAAGAUUAAUCGAGCGGCCAUNNNNNNNNNNNNNNNNNNNNNNNNNCAACAAUACUCUAUGAAAAUUAGCAAAUCAGAUGAGUGGAGCAAACUCUUAGUUCAAUGUUCAGAAACAUGUUGACAAAUUAUUCCUUGGCCUCUAGGACGUAAAAACCUCACAUAACAGUUAUCUGGCCCAACAUGCUAGUUAAAAUUUGACCUACCGUUCAAUAUGUGGUAAAACUAAUAUGAACCCCCCUCACCUGGACAGUUGUUGGUAAAUACUAAAUUUACACAAACUCAAAUGUUGAUAGGUGUGCGCUUUCUUCAUGUAAGUGCCGCAUGUAACCAUGCGUAUAUUCAAUCAUAGGAAAAUGCCAACACCCUUUCAAGGUAGAAGGCCACACAAUGGGUGUUGCGCAAAAAAACUAACACUCUUCAUUACAACUUAAUAUUUAUAUAUAGGAAAUUUUGGUCUUUAUUUCAAUUUACUACUUAAAUUGCAUCUAACAAUCAAUUUUUUGUUAUACAUGAUACUGAAAUAAUCUCAGACUCAUAUGAUGAAAUCAUAUAGUGAAUCUCAUACUCCCGAACAUAUGUAAUUUGAUUUAGGCCUUUAUAUAUAACAUACCUAGGUUAAUAGAUUAAGUGUAUAUGCAAUUAAAAUCCUUUUAUUAAUUGCAUGGUAACUUAAAUAACUUAACCCACCAUAAGAAUAUGACAUAUUAACUACGUCGCCUCGGAUUUAUAAUAUGUCAGCAAUAUCUUUACUUUCAUAUAUCAAAUAUAUGAAUAUGUUUUGUAUAUACUUUCACAUUAGGUUAAAACAUACAAACCCAAAUCUCAAAUCAGUACCAGCAAGAAUAAUUUUUGUGGCGACGACGAGUGUGCUCUAAUACCAUUGAUAAGGAAAUACGCACGUGCAUGUCAUUUAAUGUCACGACCUCCGGAUUACUCGUUUCCUCGGGCACGUUAACAGACCCAGUGUAUACAAAAAAAAUUUUCUAAGUACAAAGGAAAUGUUACCUGCCUUUUUUUUUCACCGUGCUAACAUAACAUAUACAUAUAACAAUUGUAUAAGAGCUGCUAAAUAAGAAAACAUAUAUAAAUACAAAGGUUCACUAUACUACAUAUAGCAUCAUAGAUACAAAAAUCAACUCGAAUCAGCGAGAUCAAAACAAUCAGUAUGUAUAAUAAACCCAAAACACUACACACUUACCUAUAGCUGGUACUCCCUCUAGCUCUGUGACUCGUUAGAAGGGCUCUAACCUCGCAACACCUUUUCCACGAUUACUAUCAGCAGUAGCAGCAGCGCAACCCGAAGGCUCUGCAAAAAUCCACAACUGGGUGCGGAGAACUUACUUGCAAAAGAAGUAGUCCUCAGUGGGUACCCGCUAACAACCUCAACGCGCUCUCACCCACUAAGCUCUACAGAAGAUAUGAUCAAUGAUAGUAAAAAUCUGAAAAUAAUCUACAGCUAUAUGCACAAUACUAUCAUGAUCGCAAAUAAUAUAUGUAGAUAAGCAGUCUCUGACCCAAUGCUUACUAGGGAAUUGUGAAACAUCCGUCCGCCUGUCGAAGCUACAGCAGCUAAGCUCAAAUCGCAAUGCCGUCGAGUGAGAGAGCUAAUCCAAUCAGGACCAACGACAUUAACGCAAACGCCACUAAGCCGACUCCGGAGUGGCACUCGGUGGGCGCUACCGCAAACACGCGAUUGCAGGAUACUUCUACCGAGGCCGCAAUGCAGGCUUCAGCAGACUAUAGUCAAAGUACAACAGUGUCCAAAACCAAACCACUGUGCCCCAUCGGCACAAUCUGAUGGCAAAAACAAGUAAUCUGGUCCAUCGUCCCACACUCAACGGCACCGACAGUCUGAACAGUGCUAAACAACUGCAUAUACAAAUUAAGCUCGGGCAUCUGUCAGCACGAGUGUGAAUUGAUUCUACACUAUUCUGGGUAUCCACCGUCACAAACCUGCGGCGAUACAAACAAACUACGGCUCCUAGAGGCUAAAUCUAGGUAGUUUUAACAAAUGAUUGUUUACGUGUAGAAUCGCUAGUUUUCUCCUAAAGUCAAAUUCAAUCCAACAUGUAUAUUUAACAAACAUUUUAAGCUCCAAUUCAGAAUUUCAAUAAGCAUGCAAAUCAUAAUUUGAGCGCAUUAAUAUAAUCUAACAAAUAACAAUCACAUGUUGACACAUAUUAAACUUAGAAGGAAAAUCCGCCGAAUUUCGACGUAAGCAUCACAAUUUAACCACCUCUAGGUAAUGCCACGGAGCACGAGGUCACAAGUUGCUGGAAAAGCCCUACAAGGACCAACCGAAUCAAAUCAAGAACCAGCAACCAAACUUCUCCAAAGAUCUAAACAUCAAAAACCAAAUGCUGCAUAUUACAAUUCCUAGAUUUCAGUACUAAAGGCUAAAUGUCCUCCAUGUCAUGUCAACUUUACCUUCUCCAAAACUCCAAUUCAGGUGAGAGAGAGAGCAUGCCCAAAUCCAUAAACUAAAAAGAGGAUCCACCUCAGGCUCUGAAAUCUAGCUUCCUCGAAAGAUUUGCAUCAAAGAAGAACCGAUAAAAUCAUUUCAGCUGUCAAAACAUCAACACGCAAGAAAAAUACAGAAAUUGACUUAUACUAACCUCAUCAAGAUGUUGUGCAAAAAGGCCUCCACGAAAUUCUCAAGAAUGCUUAGCUAACCAAUAACAAUUAUAUACCAUCGACCGUUCCUACACGGCAGCCGAGCCAAAACGGCCGCAAAGGUCGUGGUAGAUAUUCUGCCUAAAACAGCAAUCCUCAAGUGGCGAAUUGAGGCAAAUUGAAUGGAUUUAGAGGGUUUGCGAAUGGCGAUAUUUUAGCCUUCUCUCAAUGAGAGGAGAUGAAAGAGUAGUUCGACCCAGGUCGUACUCUCAGCCUAUUGUGUAGAGAGGUGAAGAUGAGAUAAGCCCGAGAGACAGAAGAGCAAAGAGCUGUGGGAUGUUCCAUGACAGAAACGGGCACUUUCGGGCGCCGGAACCAUUUUCUGGACGGUCGCGAAACCUGCGGCAGGUUGCAGCAAAUCACUCAUCUUCCGUUCCUCCGCUCGCGUGUGUCUGUGCUCUUAUGCCCUGUCCGGCGACCUCGACUAACCACCAGACACUGGUCAGCACAAUCGAUGAUUCACAAAGUUGAAACUUUCGGGCCCUCUUCUGGGCGUCUGAAACUAAGGAUCCGAAUUCGUCUCCAUGUUUGCUGCUUAGUUCAGGCACUCGAGUCUGGGUGUCCAAACCAUGACUAGGCGCCCGAACACUGGCAAAUACUCCCAGUUUUACUCCUUUGAGUCGGACGGAGUACUACUUCUCUGCAUCCCAUUUCAUGCAAGAAAUGACUCCGAUCAUUCUUCGACACCUCUCCCAGAGUGUGUGACCUCAGUCACUAAUAUUGUCACCAACCUUCCAAACUCCGAAUACAUACAUUAAUGCCAAACGGAAUAAAUUUUAUUUAUAAAUAUGACCAACUCUAUGUAUACUUUAAUCAUUCAAUAACAUUUUGAUUAUUAGUAUAUAUAUGUAACCAAGAUCAUCUCGUGUGACACAAAAAUAUGUUAUUUGCUAUUCUAAUAGAAGAAAGCGUUCGAAUUAUCAACCUGUGUUGAUUACUGAAAAUUAUUUUACGGUUUGAAUUUUGGAUCUGCAUCUUCGGGUUUUGUUCAGCCACACAAGUGUCGACCAUCUUAUAUUUAUCCCACACAAAGGCUGCAUCCUGGCAUUAUUGCUUCACGACAAUCAAGUAUAAAUCUCGAAACUCCUUUGUGUGAUCUCUUGUGUCAAUAUGGAGAAAAAUUAAUCACUCGAAUAAUUGUGCUAGCAAUUAUCAAGAAGAUUAACUAUAGAGGAACAAUUCUAUAUAGGAUGACCUCUCCUAUUUGAUUUAAAAAAUAGCUUACAUGAUUCAAGGAAUAUCCUAUUCUUCUAUUUCCUCCCAAUUCAUUUUGUGUGUGUGAUGAUUAUCAUCAUUGAGAGACUGCCUAACUCUUAUAGGUGGAGGCCAAAAAAGUUAGAGAGCCGGAGAAGAGGUGGGAGAAACGUUCUCAUAAUAGACAUUGAUUUCCUGCGCAAGUUAAUAAAACGAUCUCUUUUCUCCAAUUUGGAGAGGAGAGAGAAAGAAAGAAACACCACUAUAAUGAGAGGGAGAAGUUUAAACCUUACUCUCAUUUGAUAUUAUAGAGAAAAAGAGAGGAAAGAAAAAACGCUUUUCACUUUUCUUCUCCAUUAAUAGCUAACAAUUAAUACAGUAAAGUUUAAUUUUCUUUCUCUUUCCUCUUUUGUCUCAUCUCCCAAACAAUUAUAAAAGGGAAUUAAUACGAAAGAGAGUUGUACACCUCAAUGAGUGUUGCAACUAAUUGCCACAUAAAGCUACGUACUAAAUUCAAAUUAGUAUGUAGCGUCACUCUAUACAAAUUUACUUUUGCAAUAGAGUUUUUGCUAACCACUUAAGCAAAUAAAUUCUUACUUUGACUAUUUUAGCAAAUAGUCUCUGCUUAAUAUCUCCAAGCACUAGAUCACAUGCAGGCUUUAUUUGUGUGGACCACAUAGUGUUCAAUUCUACCUUGGUAGUGGAGCAUGUGACACUAAACUCUUUGAAUGCCACCAUCAAGCAACUCUCGCGAUGGAUCCCGUAAAAUAUUUUAGGCUCUCCAACUUAGUGUAAUUAACUACUUAAUUUACUCUUAUGGGUCCCACAAUCACUAGUGACACUAUAGCAGUAUACGGUGAUCCAAGUAGAAUUAAUAAUAGAGCAGACUCUGGCACGUUACCGUGUGAUAAAAAUCCUCUUUAUCAGUUGGUCCCCGAUUCGAGUUUGAAGGCCAGUUAUGGAUAACUUGUCAAAGCCCCGGCUUCCUUUGGUUUUAAAAUCGAUUGCGGAAGGCCCAAACUUUUUUUUAAUGAAAACCUUGACGGCAAAGGACGUCAGAUCCGCGCAACAAUACAGGAAAAUCCACUUUCACAUGACAGAGUUUUUCCGCUAUAUUUGCACGGCGUCGCAAUAGGUACAAGAUACAACCAACAGGUUAAACAACCACAUACAAUACCACAUCAAACAGAUACCAUUCAUCAUUUAUCCACAGUUUAUCUGUCACGGCCCUACGACCGCCCCACGUUGGUCGAAUUGGGUACGUCGACAGGACCGCCAAACGGAACAGGGUUUCCUCUGUACGUCCUACGUCACACUAUCCAUCAAUUUGCGCGGUUCCAACCUAGGAACAACAUUCAUACACAGAUUAAUAAGGAGGUAUCAAAAUAUAUAAAGCUAAACUAUUACAGCACAUUCAUCUCACAUGUAUUUACAUAUUACAUUUUUCCACUUAGCUCAAAUGCAUCCUCACUAGUACUAUUAUUUACUUUUGCUCUUCUUUUUCCCGUACCCUAAGUGUUAAUCAUUUUGGCACUCCGCGUGGAGUUGAUGGGUGUGAUAUCGGGUGUAACCCCUAGAUUCUUCCUAUGGAUAACACUGUUUGAAUCCUCCUUAGAAGAUAUAUGAUUGGCAGAUCCAUUCAUAAGAGCAAGUUAAAGCAGAUCUAGACUUCGCCCUCGAUCUGGUUGAGGAAGGUGAGAAGAAAUUUUAGCCAUGUGUCUGGCCGCGAACGUAACCUGCCCGCCGCAGGUUAUUUCUGGGCAGUGGGUUCAUUCAUGGUAGAGAUUAAAAUUUUGUUUAUAUUUAUUUUGAAAUCAGGAUGCAGUAGGUUCCAUGGCUUCCAACAGACAUCAAGGUCUCUGUAAUUACCGCAACACUUUUGUGUUAAGGACCCUCGAUUAAGAGACCAAUAUAAAUGUGAUAAUGAAGGAAGCAAAACAGGCACAUAAAAUCUUUAUUGAUAUGAUUUUGCCGGUUUACAUAGUUAAGCAUGGCAUACCCCCAAUUUUUGGUUUAAAAAACAUCGAAUUUAUCAGACUAAAUACUCAAGUGGCAUGUUCGUUGAAGUUUGAUCUCAGUUUUAAUAACAUGGCGGUCACAGUUUAAGUUUUGAUGCUAGUUUAAUGACUGGGGUCGAGUUCAAGUUUUGAUGCGCAGUUAAUGAAUGGCGGUCGAGUUCGAAGUAUUGUGAACACUCGCAGUCGUUUAAUUGUUAGGUUUAACGACUCCUUCCGGUCCGUGUUGAAGUGAGUUUUAGUUUAGCCAGACAUUUUCGGUCGUGUGAAUUUUGGUGGUCUUAGUUUUAGCGGGACAUUUCGGUCGUUUGAAGUUGAGUUUAGUUACGACAUUGUCGGCCGUCUUGAAUUGGUUUUUGGGCUUCGAACGUUAUGCUUUGUUCGAGACCCAUUCAAGACUUGUUUGGUUGGGUCGUCAAGACCCAUAAGGACUUGGCUCGGUUUGCGGUCUUCGAGUGACCCAUCAAGACUUGGCUUGUUUGGAUCGUUCGUGGACCAUCAAGACUGGUUUGUGGUCAAAAGUUCGGGACCCAUCUAAGACUUAGUUGCGGUAUUGGGUCGUCAGCGACCCGUCAAGGCUUGGUGUGGGUCUUUCGGGACCCAUCAAGACUUGAUUUGGGUCGUCGACCACAUACUGCGUUUCGAGUCAUUCGAGAACCAUCAAGACUUAGUUCGUUUGGCGCUCGUUCAGGACCCGUCAAAAGCUUGUGUCGUGAUAGUGUUGUGUCGUCGCGGACCAUAAGACUUGGUUUGGGGUUGUUCGGGACCCAUCAAGCGGUUCGUCGGUAAAAGAGUUUGGUUUGGGGUCGAUUCGGCCUCAAGACUUGGUUUGGUCAGUUCGGGGGACCCAUCAAGGCUUCGUUCGGUUUUGGGUCGUUCGCCGACCCUUAAGACUUGGUUUGUGGUGCGUGCGACCAAUCUAAGACUUGGUUUGGGUCGUUCGUGACCCAUCAAGACUUAGUUGAGUUGGGCGACUUCAAGUUUAUUUGGUCAUUUUUGGAUUUGGGUUGUUUAGUUUAGCAGACUUUAGCGGUCGGUUGAAUUGUUUAGUUUAACGCUUUUCGGUCGUUUGAAUUUGUUUAGUUAACGACUUUUCGGUGAUUGCUUAUUUGUAGGCUUUGGGAUUUUGGAUUUUAUGUUUGUGACUUUGGUUUGGGUUUUUUAUUUGUGGACUUCGUGGAUUUUGGGUUUUAUUUGUGGACUUGGGUUUUGAAAUUUUUUUGUGGACUUUGGGCGUUUUGGGUUUGAGUUUGAGUCGUGGGGCUUUGAAACCGUUAUGCUUUGGUUCGGAUCUAAGGUCCAGACUAUGGUUUGAACUUGGAUCUUUAUGGUGGUUUGGCUUGGAUCCACCUUGGUUCGAGUUAGACCCUGAUUGGAUUGAACCGAAUUCGCUCAAGUCUGGUUCAGUCGGAUCAUAGUUCGGUUCGGAUUUGGACCCACUUACAGCUUCAGAGCCAGGUUCUGAUUGGGUUCGGUUCAGUCGGAUCCAAUUCGAUCAGUUGAAUCUUCUAUGUCAUGUGUUCGGUUGGAUCUGUUAGGUUCAAUUCGGUCGAUCCUCGCUUACGAUCCAAUUCAAGUCGAAUCAUUAUGAUUUGGUUUCAGAGACGGGAUCCGGUUGCGGUUGCAGCUUGAAGUCGAGUAACGCUUCGGUUUAAGUGGAAUGGUGCUAGUGGUUCGGUUCGGACUGGGAUCUGGUUUGGUUCGAUCCGGGGUGUCGGCUCGGUUUGAGUUCGGAUAGUGACGGGAUGCCGGUUUGGUUUCGGAUCCGGUUCGCGUGUCAUUGGGUUGCGCGACGUACGAGAUCUGGUUCAAUUCAGUUAUGUCGCGAUCGGCACGGGAUCGAAAUUCGUCGUUCGGAUCCGGUUGCAGGUUCGGUCGUGAUCCGGUUCAGUCAGGUUUGGGUUCGGGGGAUUCGGUUGGUUCAGUUUGGUUUUGAUGAGACGGAUCCGCGAUUCGGGUUCGGAUCCGUGUUCGGUUCGGUUCCGGAUCCGGUUCAGUUCAGUUUGGUUCGGGACGGGAUUCAGUUUCGGUUCAGAUUGGUUAUCGGAUCGCCUUCGUUUAAGUCGAAUCCCUUGUUUGAUCGGCUCGAAUCGGCUCCACUUCGUUCGAGGUCGAAUGCUUCCAUUUUUUUUCGUUCGGAUGGAUCAAAUUGCAUGUGGACUGAGAUGACUUAGGCUUUAUAAUGUUAUAGGCCUUGGUAUCCGAAUCUGUACGUCUGAGCUUUGGGCCGAAUCUGUUGUGGGCUCUGCAUGCUUGGGUUUUUAUUUUAUUUAUUUAUUUAUUUUUUCGCGAUUACUGCUAUAGUAGAAUAACCCGAAUCCAACUCCUUAAAUUUCUUUUGUUUUUUUUUAUUUUGACUGGAGAAAAUAAAAGGAACAACUCCCCUUUUUUUUUCUUUUCUUUUCUUUAUCUUUUUUUUUGUCAUUCUUCCUUUCUCUUUUUUUUUUUUUUUUUAUUUUUUUUGACUUUUCAGGAGAUGAGAAGAGAAAGACCCAACUCUCUCUCUUCUUUUCUCUUGUGUGAUUACACAAAACCAGAGGGGGAGAGAGGAAUAACUCCUUUCUUUUUGUGUAUUUUUUCUUUCUUUCCUUUCUUGCUCUUCUUCUUCUUUUUUUUUUUUUUGAUACUUUUAUUCAUUCCUUUUUUUUUGCUCUUUUUUUUUUUGGACUGGAUAAAUAAUGAAUAAUACCUUUGUUUUGUUUCGAUUUCUUUUCCUUUUUUGUUCGUCUUUUUUUUUUUUGCUUUCUUUUAUUGAAUUUUUUUUUUUCUUCGUUUUUUUUUUGUUGAUUGCAACAAGAGAGAGGAGAAAGGGAGACCAAGCCCAACUCUCUCUCUCUCUCUCUCUUCACUCUGUACGAAAUAGAGAAACGAAGAAGGAGCAUUGCUCUGCUCUUUCUCCCUUUCUACUUUUUUUUUUAUUUGUUUCUUCUUGUUUUUUUUUGUUUAUUCAUUCCUUUUGUUUAAAUAACGAAGUUGAUCAACGCCGAGCAGUAUAUUAAUCGAUUCGAACGAGAGUGAGCGAAUGCAAAAUUAGAAUCUGUUCCAUUUUAUUAUUAUUUUUGUUAACACGUUUUUUAAGUCCGCGAUUAUCGUGUCGAGCCUCAUACGAAGUUCUCUCAAAAAAAAAAAAAAAAAAAAAAAAACCUUGUUCUGAAACUCUAAUUUAAAGUUCCUUUAUUUAAGUGUGGAACUGUUGUGGACUAAAAAAAAAAAAAAAGAAAGAAAGAGGGAGUUGUUCCAUUUUUUUAUUUUUCCAAUCAAAAAAAAAAGAAACAAAAAGAAAUUUUUAAGGAAUUGGAUUCGGGUUAUUCUAAAAAAAUAAAUAAAUGAAUAAAAAAAACACCCACAUGCAGAGCCCACAUACAGAUUCGGGCCCAAAGCUCAGACCGUACAGAUUCGGAUCUAAGGCCUAUAACAUAUAAAGCCUAAAGCUCAUCUCAGUCCACAUGCAAAUUUGGAUCCAUUCCGAACAAAAAAAAAAAGGAAGCAUUCGACUCGAACCAAAGUGGAGCCGAUUCGAACCACAACCACAAGGGAUUCGGCUUAAACCGAAGCGGAUCCGACCCAAGUUGAACUGAACCGAAUCCUGUCCGAACCAAACUGAACUGAACCGGAUCUGAACUGAACCGAACCGGAUCCGAACCGAAUCUGAUCCCGUCCGAUCCGAACCAAACUGAACCGAACCGGAUCUCGUCCGAUCAGAACCGAACUGAACCGGAUCCGAACCGAAUCGAACCGGAUCCGAACCGAACCGGAUCCCGUCCGAACCAAACUGAACUGAACCGGAUCCGAACCAAACCGAACCGGAUCCAAACCGAAUCGGGACCAAACUGAACUGAACCGGAUCUCGUCCGGUCCGAACCGAACUGAACCGAACCGGAUCCGAACCAAACCGGAUCCCGUACGAUCCGAACCAAACUGAACCGAACCGGAUCCGAACCGAACCGGAUCCCGUCUGAACCGAACCCAAUCAGAAUCCGACUCGAACUGAAGUGGGUCCAAUCCGAACCGAAUAUGAUCUGACUUGAACCGACUCGAGCUGAAUCCGGUUUAAUCCAAUCAGGGUCUAACUCAAACCAAGGUGGGUCCAACCCGAACCAAACCAUGAAGAAUCUAAUUCAAACCAAGUCUGGAUAGAUCCCGAACCAAAGCAUAACGGUUCAACCCAAACCCAAAGUCCGCAAACUCAAAAUCCAAAACCCAAAGUCCACAAAUAAAAACCCAAAAACCCAAAAUCCACAAAGUCCACAAAUAAAAACCCAAACCCAAAGUCCACAAACUCAAAAUCCAAAACCCAAAGUCCACAAAUAAAAACCCAAAAACCCAAAAUCCACAAAGUCCACAAUAAAAACCCCAAACCCAAAGUCCACAAAUAAAAAUCCAAAAUCCAAGCCUACAAUAAAACAAGACGCAAAGUCGUUAAACUACAAACAAUCCAAUUAAACGACCGAGAAGUCAUAUAAACCUGAAACCCAAGUUCCAAACGACCCGAAAGUCGUUAAAACUAAACAAUCUCAAACGACCGAAAAGUCGUUAAACUUAAACAAUUCCAAACGACCGUAAAUCCAAACUAACAACCAAAUCCAAAUGACCCAAUAAACUUGAAGUCGACCAACUCACAACUAAAGCNNNNNNNNNNNNNNNNNNNNNNNNNNNNNNNNNNNNNNNNNNNNNNNNNNNNNNNNNNNNNNNNNNNNNNNNNNNNNNNNNNNNNNNNNNNNNNNNNNNNNNNNNNNNNNNNNNNNNNNNNNNNNNNNNNNNNNNNNNNNNNNNNNNNNNNNNNNNNNNNNNNNNNNNNNNNNNNNNNNNNNNNNNNNNNNNNNNNNNNNNNNNNNNNNNNNNNNNNNNNNNNNNNNNNNNNNNNNNNNNNNNNNNNNNNNACUUUCUCCGUUUUGUCCGUUUAUUUUAAAAUAACUAUACUAAACGGCAAAUGUAUCGAAUUCGUCCCCGUAUGGGGGUGACAUGUACUUAAAAUAGUCUGAUUUAUGAGUUACCGUCAACCAACUUCAAAACUACGAGUCAAAUUAUUGUACCGCCAGUUCAAAUUCAAAACUACGAGUCAAAUUACUGUACCGCCAGCUCAAGUUCAAACCUACUUGUUGAAGCGUCAGCAAAUCUAACCCAAAUCAAAUUGCUGAAAGGCCAGCAAACUUCAACUCAAAUCAAAUCGCUGUAAAGCCAGCAAACUUAACCAAAACCCAGCUUGGCAAUACGAAACCAAGCUCUGGGUAGUUCUGAACCAAACCCAACCCAGCAAGUUCUGGGUAGUUCUGAACCGAGCCAAACCCAGCAAGCUCUGGGUAGUUCUGAACCGAACCAAACCUAGCAAGCCCUGGGUAGUUCUGAACCAAACCCAGCAAGCCCUGGGUAGUUCUGAAUCAAGCCAAACCCAGCAAGUCCUGGGCAGUUCCGAACCAAACCCAGCAAGCCCUGGGUAGUUCUGAACUAAACCCAGCAAGCCCUGGGUAGUUAUGAACCAAACCCAGUAAGCCCUGGGUAGUUCUGAAUCAAGCCAAACCCAGCAAGUCCUGGGCAGUUCCGAACCAAAACCAGCAAGCCCUGGGUAGUUCUGAACCAAACCAAACCCAGCAAGCCCUGGGUAGUUCUGAACCAAAUCCAGCAAGCCCUGGGUAGUUCCGAACCAAACCAAACCCAGCAAGCCCUGGGUAGUUCUGAACCAAACCCAGCAAGCCCUGGGUAGUUCCGAAGCAAGCCAAACCCAGCAAGCCCUGGGAAAUUCUGAACCAAACCCAGCAAGCCCUGGUUAGUUCUGAACCAAACCCAGCAAGCCCUGGGUUAUCAGCAUUUAUAUUUGGUCUCUUAAUCGAGGGUUCCUUAACACCAAAAGUGUGGGGUAAUUAACAGCAGACUCUUGAGUCUGUUGGAAGCCAUGAACCUAUGAUCCUGAUUUCAAAAUAAAAUUUAAACAAAUUUUAUCUCUACCAUGAAUGACCACUCGCCCUAGAAACAACCUACGGCGGGGCCGGUUAGUUCGCGGCAGACACAUGGCUAAAUUUCAAUUCUCACCUUCCUCAACCAGAUCGAGGGCGAAGUCUAGAUCUGCUUUAACUUGCUCUUAUGAAUGGGAUUCCAUCAUAUAUCCUUCUAAGGAGGAUUCAAACAGUGUUAUCCAUAGGAAGAAUCUAGGGGUUACACCCGAUACACAACCCAUCAAAACUCCACCGGAGUGCUCAAAUGAUUAACACUUAGGGUACGGGAAAAAGAAGAGCAAAAUGUAAUAAUAGUACUAGUGAGGAUUGCAUUUGGAAGCUAAGUGGAAAAAUGUAAUAUGUAAAAUACAUGUGAGAUGAAUGCUUGUAAUAGUUUAGCAUUUAUAUUUUUGAUACCUUCCUUAUGUAAUCUGUGUAUGAAUGUUGUUCCUGGUUGGAACCGCGCAAAUUGUAUGGAUUGUGACGCCUAGGACGUACAGAGGAAACCCGUCCGUUUGGCGGUCUGUCGACGUACCCGAAUUCGACCAAAGUGGCGGGUCCUAGGCCGUGACAGAUAAACUGUGAUAAAUGUGAAUGGUAUCUGUGAUGUGGUGAUUGUAUGUGGAUUGUUAUACUGUGUGGUUGUAUCUUGUACCUAUGCGACGCCGUGCAAAUAUAGGGAAAACUCUGUCCAUGUGAACAGUGGAUUUUCUGUAUUUGUGGCGGAUCUGACGUCCUUUGCCGUCAAGGUUUUCAUUAAAAAAAAAGUUUGGGCACUUCCGCAUCGAUUUUAAAACCAAAAGGGAGCCCGGGGCGUGACAAGUUAUCCAUAACUGGCCUCAACUCAAUCGGGACAACUGAUAAAAAGAUUUUAUCACACGGUAACUGCACCUAGAGGUUCUGUCUAUUAUUAAUUCUACUUGGAUCACCGCGAUAUACUGCUAAGUGUCACUAGUUGAUUGUGGGACCCAUAAGAGUAAUUAAGUAGUUAAUUACACUAAGUUGGGAGAGCUAAAAAUAUUUUGGUCCAUCGAGAAGAGUUCUGAUGGUGGCAUUCAAAGAGUUUAGUGUCACAUCUCACUACCAGGUAGAAUUGAACCUAUGUGGUCACACACAAUAAAGGCUGCAUGUGAUCUAGUGCUUGGAGAAUUAACAGAGACUAUUUUGCUAAAAUAGCAAAGUAAGAAUUUAUUUGCUAAGGUGGUUAGCAAAAACUCUAAUUGCAAAAGAUGAAAUUUGUAUAGAGUGACCUAAUACUAAAUUUGAUUUAGUACGAGGGCUUAUGUGCAAUAGUUGCAACAACUCAUGAGGUGACAACUCUCUCUUCGUAUUUAAUCCUUUUAUUAAUUGUUGGGAGAUGAAGACAAAAAGGGAGAGAGAAAGAAAAUAAAAUUAUACUUAUUAAUUGUACUAUUAAUGGAGAAGAAAAGUGAAAACGUUUUUUCUUUCCUCUCUUCUUCUCUAUACAUAUCAAAUGAGAGAAGUUAACUCUCCUCUCAUUUAUAGUGUGUGUUUUCUUUCUUUCUCUCCUCUCCAAAUUUGAGAAAGAGAUGUUUUAUUAAUUGCGAGGAAAUCAAUGUCUCAUUAUGAGAACGUUUCUCCCACCUCUUCCUCGGCUCUCUACUUUUUGCCUCACCUAUAAAUUGAGGCAUCUCUCAAUGAUGAUAAUCAUCACAACACAAAAUGAAGUGGGAGAGAAAUAGAGAAAAUUCUCCUAAUCAUGUAAAGCUAUUUUUUAAUCAUAAUAGAGAGGUCAUCCUAUAUAAAUUGUUCUCUAUAGUUAAUCUUCUUGAAAUUGCUAGCACAAUUUUGAGGAUUAAUUUUUCUCCAUAUUGACACAAGAGAUCACAAAAGGAGUUUCGAGAUUAUACUGUGAUUGUGUGAAGCACAGAUCCCGGAGCAGCCUUGUGUGGAUAAAUAUAGAGGUCGAACACUUGUGUGGCUGAAAAAACCCGAAGAUCAGAUCCAAAAUCAACCGUAAAAUAAUUUCGGUAAUCAACACAGGUUGAAAUUCGAACCUUUCUUCUAAUUAGAAUAGAAUAAUAAAUUUUGUGUCACACGAGAUGAUCUUGGUACAUAUAUAUACUAAUAUCAUAAAUGUUAUGAUAUUAAAGUAUACAUGAUUGGAUCAUAUUUUAUAAAUAAAAUUUAUUUCCGUUGCAUUAAAUGUAGUAUUCCGGAGGUUUGGAUAGGAUUGGUGACAGUAUUAGUGACUGGUCAACACAUCUGGAGAGUGUCGAAAUGAGUCGGAGUCAUUUCUGCAUGAAAGGGAUGCAGAAAUAGACUCGUCGCACUCAAAGGAGUAAAACUGGAGUUUUGCCAGUUUCGGGCGCCUAGUACAUGGUUUGGGACACCCAGAACUCGAGUGCUGAACUAAGCAGAACUGGAAGCGAAUUCGGAUCCUAGUUUCAGACGCCCAGAAGAGGGCCCGAAAGUUCACUUUGUGAAUAUCGAUUGUGCUGACACGUGUCUGGUGGUUAGUGAGGUCCGCCGGACCAGGAUAAGAGCACAGCACACCGCGAGCGGAGGAACCGAAGAUGAGUAUUUGUGCAACCUGGAGGUUUCGGACGUCCAGAAAAUGGUUCCGGGCGCCCGAAAGUGCCCGUUUCUGCAGGAACUGCAGGUUUGUGUUUCUGUUCUUGGGACUUAUCUCAUCCUUUCACCUCUCUACAAAUAGGUGGAGUACGACCCUGGUGAACUCUUUUCAUCUCCUCUUCAUAGAGAAGGCUAAAAUUGCAUUCCAACCCCUCUAAAUCCUCCAAUUUGCUCAAUUCCACCUUGAGGAUUGCUGUUUUAGCAGAAUUCUAGCAGCGACCUUUGGCGUUUUGGCUCGUGUGCGAUGUAGGAAGGUCGGAUUGCAAUAAAACUUAGUUUAUUGGUUAGCUAACUUCCUGGAGAUUUCGUGGAGGCCUUUUUGACAACAUUUGAUUGAGGUUAGUAUAGUCAAUUUGGUAUUUUUCUUCGCUGUUGAUGUUUUUGAGCUGAAAUUGAGUUUUAUCGGUUUUCUUGAUGCAAUCUUUCGAGGAAGCUAGAUUUCAGACCUGAGGGUGAUACUCUAUUCUAGUUUACUGGAUUUGGGACCUUUCUUCACCUGAAUUGGAGUUGGGAAGGUAAAGUUGACAUUGGACAUGGAGGAAUUUAGCUUUAGUACUGAAAUUUGGGAGUUGUAAUGCAAGAUUUGGUGUUUUUGAUGUUUAGAUCUUUGGAGAAGUUUGGUUGCUGGUUCUGAGUGAUUUCGGUUGGUCUUGGUAGGGUUUCCAGCAACUUUGUGACCUCGUGCUGCCGUGGAUUAACGCUAGAGGUGGGUUAAAUGUGAUGCUUACCGAAUUCGGCGGAUUUCCUUCUAAGUUAAUAUUGUCAACAUGUAUUGUUAGUUGUUAGAUUAUAUUAAUCGGCUCAAAUUUAUGAUUUGCAUGCUUAUUGAAAUCUGAAUUGGGAGCUUAAAAUGUUUGUUAAAUAUACAUGUUGGACUUGAAUUUGACUUAGGAGAAAACUAGCGAUUCUACACCGUCAUUUGUUAAAACUACCAGAUUUAGCUCUAGGAGCCGUAGUUUGUUUGUAUCGCCGCAGUUUGUGAACGGUGGAUACCCAGAAUAGUGUAGAAUGCAAUUACACUCGUGCUGAGAUGCCGAGCUUAUUUUUAUAGCAGUGUUUAGACUGUUCCAGACUGUCGGGUGCCGUUGAGGUGGACGAUGGACCCAGAUUACUGUUUUUGCAUCAGAUUGUGCCGAGGGCACGUGGGUUUGGUUUUUGGACCCUGUUUACUUUGACUAUAGUCUGUGAGAGCCUGAUUGGGCUCGGUAGAGAUACGCUUGCAUACUCGGUUGGGUAGCGCCCACGAGUGCCACUCCGGAGUCGGGCUUAGUGCGUUUGCGUUAAUGUCGUUGUGUCCUGAUUGGACUUGCUCUCUACUGACGGCCUUGCGUUGAGGUAGCUGUGUAGCUUCGACAGGCGGGACGGAUGUAUUCACAAUCCCUAGUAAGAUUGGGUCAGAGACUGCUUUAUUCUACAUAUAGUUAGUGUUGGAUCAUGAUAGUAUUGUGGCAUAUAGCUGUAGAUUAUUUUCAGAUCUUUACUAUCAUUGAGCAUAUCUUCUGUAGACUUAGUGGGUGAGCCGUUGAGGUUGGUAGCGGUACCCACUGAGGACUACUUCUUUUUGCAGUAGUUCUCACGCCCAGUUGUGGAUCUUUUGCAGAGCCUUCGGUUGCGGCUGCUGCUACUGCUGAUAGUAAUCGUGGAAAAGGUGUUGCGAGUUAGAGCCCUUCCUAACGAGUCACAGAGCUAGAGGAGUACCAGCUAUAGGUAGUUGUAGUUUUUGGGUUAUUAUACAUACUGAUGUUUGUAUCUCGCUGGAGCGAGUGAUUUUUGUAUACUAUGAUGUUAUGUAUGUAUAGUGAACCUUUGUUAUUAUAUAUGUUUUCUUUUUAGCAGCUCUAUACUAUUGGUUAUAGUAUUGUAUGAUUACAGGUACAGGUACAGUUUCACUUUGUAUAUAGAAAAAUUUUUUUUGUAUACGACGGGUCUGUUAACGUGCCCGAGGAAACGAGUAAUCCGGAGCGUGACAUUAAAUGCACAUGCACGUGCAUGUAUUUCCUUACAAUGGUAUUAGAGCCACCUCGUGUCGCCACAAAAAUUAUUCUUGUUACUGAUUUGGAUUUGGGGUUGUAUGAUUUAACCCUAAUGUGAAAGUAUAUACAAAACAUAUUUCAUAUAUUUGAUAUAUGAAAGUAAUUGGUGACAAUUAUAAAUCCCGGGCGACGUAGUUAAUAUGUCAUUAUCUUAUGGUGGUUAAUUAUUUAAGUUAGCAUGCAAUUAAUAAAAGGAUUUUAAUUGCAUAUAACUUAAUCUAUUAACCUAGGUAUGUUAUAUAUAAAGGCUAAAUCAAAUUACAUAUGUUGGGGUAUGAGAUGCACUAUAUGAUUUCAUCAUAUGGUCUGAGAUUAUUUAGUAAUCAAUGUAUACAAAAUAAUUGUGUUAGAUGCAAUUUAAGAGUAAAUUGAAAUAAAGACCAAAACUUCCUAUUAUAAAUAUUAAGUUGUAAUGAAGAGUGUUAGGAACACCCUAUUGUGGCCUUCUACCAUUGAAAGGUGUUGGCAUUUUCCUAAUUGUUGAAUGAUACGCAUGGUUACAUGGGCCACUUACAUGAAGAAAGCGCAACCACCUUAUCAACAUUUGAUGUUGUGUGGUAAAAUUAGUAUUGUACCCAACAACUGUCAGGUGAGGGUUCAAUAUUAGUUUUACACACAUAUUGAACGGUAGGUCAAAUUUAACUAGCAUGUUGGGCCAAUAACUGUUAUGUGAGGCUUUUACGUCCUAGAGGCCAAGGAAUAAUUGCAACAUGUUUCUGAAACAUUGAACAAGAGUUGUCCACUCAUCUAUUUGCUAAUUAUCAAUAACUGUUAGGUGAGAUAAUUUGCAAAAUUGGUGAGACCACAAUCCCCACUAGAAAUCAAUUUAGGAGGUUUUCGUUUCUUCACUAAAAAAGUGUGGACAUCCAGAAAACUCAGUGGGAGACACCAUUUGAUUAAAAGUCUAUAAUCAAGUGGAAUAAUGAAAAGUACAUAACUAACUGAAUAUCUUUACCUUCUACAGAAUAUGGCUGCUUCUAACCCUCUCACUAAAAUUCUUGAUGCCAACCGCUUAACUGGCCCUAAUUUUUCUGAUUGGCUACGGAACUUGAGAAUCAUUCUCAAUUCUGAAAAAAUUGCCUAUAUUUUGACCACUCAUGCUCCUGAACUUCCAGCUGAUGAUAAUGAGCAACAGAGAGCUGCUUAUGCAAAAUGAAUGGAUGACGAUAAUAGAGUCAGGUGUUAUAUGUUGGGAUCAAUGAGCAAUGAGCUAUAACAUCACUGUCCAUGUGUUCAUGUUGACGUUGCAACUCAUUGCUCAUCGAUGCCAACAUGUAACAGCUGACUCUAUUAUCGUCAUCCAUCCAUUUUUCAUAAGCAGCUCUCUGUUGCUCAUUGUCAUCAACUGGAAGUUCAGGAGUAGGAGUGGUCAACAUAUAGGCAAUUUUCUCAGAAUUGAGAACGAUUCUCAAGUUCCGUAGCCAAUCAGAAAAAUUAGGGCUGGUUAAACGGUUGGCAUCAAGAAUUUUAGUGAGAAGGUUAGAAGCAGCCAUAUUCUGUAGAAGGUAAAAAUAUUCAGUUUGUUAUGUACUUUUCAUUAUCCUAUUUGAUUAUGGAUUUUUAAUCAAAUGGUGUCUCCCACUGAGUUUUCUGGAUAUCCACACUCGUUUAGUGAAGAAACAGAAACCUCCUAAAUUGAUUUCUGGUGAGGAUUGCGGUCUCAUCAAUUUUGCAAAUUAUCUCACCUAACAAUUAUUGGUAAUUAGCAAAUGAUGAGUGGACAACUAUUGUCCAAUGUUUCAGAAACAUGUUGCAAUUAUUCCUUGGCCUCUAGGACGUAAAAGCCUCACCUAAAAGUUAUUGGCUCCACAUCCUAGUUAAGUUUGACCUACCAUUCAAUAUGUGUAUAAAACUAAUAUUGAACCCUCACCAAACAGUUAUUAGGUACAAUACUAAUUUUACCACACAACAUCAAAUGUUGAUAAGGUGAAUGCGCUUUCUUCAUGUAAGUGGCUCAUUUAACCAUGCGUAUCACUCAACAUUUAAGAAAAUGCCAACACCUUACAACGGUAGAAGGCCACAAUAGGGUGUUCAUAACACUCUUUGUUACAACUUAAUAUUUAUAAUAGGAAGUUUUUGUCUUUAUUUCAAUUUCAUCAGAUCUUACUUUUAAAUUGCAUCUAAUGCAAUUAUUUUGUAUCUAAUACAAAAUAAUAUUAAACAUUGAUGACUAAAUAAUCUCAGACCAUAUGAUAAAUUCAUAUAGUGCAUCUCAUGCCCCAACAUAUGCAAUUUGAUUUAGCUUUUAUAUGUAAUCUACCUAGGUUAAUAGAUUAAGUUAUAUGCAAUUAAAAUCCUUUUAUUAAUUGCAUGCUAACUUAAAUAAUUAACCACCAUAAGAUAAUGACAUAUUAAUUACGUCGCCCGGAAUUUAUGAUUGUCACCAAUUACUUUCAUAUAUCAAAUAUAUGAAAUAUCUUUUGUAUAUGCUUUCACAUUAGGGUUAAAUCAUACAACCUCAAAUCCAAAUCAAUGACAAGAAUAAUUUUUGUGGCGACAUAAGGGUGGCUCUGAUACCAUUGUAAGGAAAUACAUGCACGUGCAUGUGCAUUUAAUGCAGUGGAAAUAAAUUUUAUUUAUAAAAUAUGAUCCAAUCAUGUAUACUUUAAUAUCAUAACAUUUAUGAUAUUAGUAUAUAUAUGUACCAAGAUCAUCUCGUGUGAUACAAAAAUUAUUAUUGUAAUCUAAUUAGAAGAAAGUUUCGAAUUUCAAUCUGUGUUGAUUACCGAAAUUAUUUUACGGUUGAUUUUGGAUCUGAUCUUCUGAUUGUUUUAGCCGCACAAGUGUUCGGCCUCUAUAUUUAUCCACACAAGGCUGCUCCGGGAUCUGUGCUUCACACAAUCACAGUGUAAUCUCGAAACUCCUUUCGUGAUCUCUUGUGUCAAUAUAGAGAAAAAUUAAUCCUCAAAAUUAUGCUAGCAAUUUCAACAAAAUUAACUAUAGAGACCAAUUAAUAUAGGAUGACCUCUCUCUUAUGAUUAAAAGAAAGCUUUAUAUGAUUGGGAGAAUUUUCUUUCUUUCUCUUGCACUUCACUUUAUGUGUUGUGAUAAUUAUCAUCAUUGAGAGAUGCCUCAAUUUAUAGGAGAGGAAAAAGGUAGAGAGCCGAGGAAGAGGUGGGAGAAACGUUCUCAUAAUGAGACGUUGAUGUCCUUGCAAUUAAUAAAGCAUCUCUCUCUCAAAUUUGGAGAGGAGAGAAAGAAAGAAAACACACACCAUAAAUGAGAGGAGAGUUAACUCCUCUAAUUUGAUAUGUAUAGAGAAGAAGAGAGGAAAGGAAAAAUGUUUUCACUUUUCUUCUCCAUUAAUAGUACAAUUAAUAUGUACAAUUUUAUUUUCUUUCUCUCUCCCUUUUUGUCUUCAUCUCCCAAUAAUUAAUAAAAGGAUUAGAUACGAAGAGAGAGUUGUCACCUUAUAAGUUAUUGCAACUAUUGCACAUAAGCCCUCGUACUAAAUCAAAUUUAGUUUUAGGUCACUCUACGCAAAUUCCAUCUUUUGCAAUUAGAGUUUUUGUUAACCACCUUAGUAAAUAAAUUCUUAUUUUACUACUUUAGCAAAAUAGUCUCUAUUAAUUCUCCAAGCACUCGAUCACACAUGGCCUUUAUUGUGUGUGAUCACAUAGGUUCAAUUCUACCUGGUAGUGAGAUGUGACACUAAACUCUUUUAAUGUCACCAUUGGGACUCUUCUCGAUGGAGCAAAAUAUUUUUGGCUCUCCCAACUGAGUGUAAUUAACUAUCUUAAUCACUCUCAUGGGUCCCACAAUCCACGAGUGACACCUAGCAGUAUAUCGCGGCAAUCCAAGUAAAAUUAAUAAUAGACAGAAUCUCUAGGUGCAGUUACCGUCUGAUAAAAUCCUUCUAUCAAUUGUCCUGAUUGAGUUGAGGUUAUGGAUAACUUGUCAAACCCAUUACUCAAUCAUAUGUCUCAUCUGAUUAACAAAUAAUAUUGAAACUCUUUUUCAGAAAAUCACACUGUCUUGGCCAAGGGCUUUUAUAUCUUGUAAAACAGAUAGCAUAGGAUAAUUACCUCUCUACCGAGGGUGAUAGAUUCUAUCUUGACACACACCUAUCUCCACGUAUGACCCACUGCAGCCAACAUGUGUUGACUUAACCCAUGAUUAGGGUAUAAGUAUUUACACAGUCAAACUACAAUAACCCAUACGCAAGAUAACAGUGGUGCCUCAGGUCAAAGGAUCACUCACACUACUACAGUAUGGAACAAUUCACUAACGAGUGAGUAGACAUUCAUGUGAUUGUUUAUAGUUGAUCACGCUCAGUGAAAUUGUUCUCCAACAUUCACCUGUAUGUUUACUCUAGUGUCACCACACUAAUGACUUGAGACUCGUCAUUCCAUAAGGGAAGUACAACAUACACUGAUCUAUCCAGAUUUAUCACCGCCCUCGUGAUAAUCCUAUUUUCAAGAGCAUUUAAGAAUUAAUUACAGAAGAAUAUAAAUCUCAAAUUUUAACUUCUUAGAAAUAUAAUUCUUCUAUUAUUAAUUCUAUGGACGAUUCAUAAAUAUGCAUUUGGUAAUAAUAUGAAUGAAGAAUGCCAGCUUUAAUCAUAGAAGAAAAGUACACUGAUAUUAUCCUUUUAAGUUAUGACAGAGAUUGGCUUAUAAGGCAUAUAACUAACAAUUUUGACUUGACGUAUGCCGUCGUCCAUAUCAGUGGAUCGAGGAGACGAAGUGGUUGAAAAGAAUAAAAAAGAAUGAGCCAGAAUAGUAAAAUAAGUGAAUAUGUGGAAAGAGACGAAAUAUACCGCCAAGAGUAGAGGAGAAGUUGUCGACUCCUUGUCAGAACCCCCACUCAACGCUUCUUGUUCCGAAGAAUCAACCAUGGUCUCCUUAUCCUUAGAGAGGCCAGCUGAAACGAAGCAUAUUGGAAACAGAAUAAAUCAAAAAAGAAAGGGGCAAAGAAGAGGGAAUCUGAAAAAUAGAAGUACCUACUGCUUGAUCAAAAUCAAAGCAACGAAGAUGAUUCGGAAAGGGCAUUGUGAAUAACCCAUCGCAGAAAUUGUCCUAUGCACGCCGGAAAAGUGCAUCGGUUAAUCAUGUUCUAUUCCGCCAAAAACUUACAGGGAGUAAAAGAGCGCCUCAAACAAUUCUCCAUUGUCGAGAUCUAAUCCGCCUCGACUGCUUCUUUGGUAGGGUGUGAGAACGAGAAUUGUUGGCCAUAAAAAACUUAGGUGGAACCAAAAGUGAUUGAAUUAGACCGAACUAUCGCACCUUCGAAGUAACAAAAAUUCAGAAUCUCUUUUUUGUGAUGAUAAUGCCAAAAAAUAUCAGUUGGCUUAUCUGUCGUUCUUUAUAUUGAUCAUUACAUGCCUCUUGAAUCUUCUCUUCCCUAUUUUUCUAUUUGUUAUUUGAUUUAUUAUGUUUUUUGGGGCUUACUACAGAUUUACUCCUCUUGUUUUAUUAUUGAUAGGAAUUCUCUUGUUGAGACCCUAAGAAUCAAUUGAAAACUCAGAUUCGUUUAGAACCAUGAAUGAUUUAUUUGCAAUAAACUUUCGUUCUUGGUGUCAACUUAGUCUUCAAGCCGAUAUGCAGAUCCCGUGCAGCCAGGAAAGAAUACAAGAGUUCGAAGUACUCACUGGCAUUAGAUGAAACCAUUUGGCUUUAAAUAGCUUCGAACCUUGCAAUAAACCAAGUUGGGCCAAUCAGUCGCUCUCUGAAAGGUACCCAGUUGAUGAGGUGUCGGGUAUUGUAGGAGUAGAAAACUCGAAAGUAAGUCAGAAAUCUGAAGGUUGGCCCAAAGAAAGGGGUUCCAGACAAUCGAGGCCAGCCCCGUACGUGUCGAAAUGUGGAACUGAAUCCUAGUCAAAGGGGAUUCGGCACAAAACAGCUGCAAGCAGUGUUGGAGAAACCACAUGAUCCUGCAGCCCGAACUGAUGACUAUACUGCUCUUCAAUAGCAACGAUUUGAUUGACUCUAGGAUAUCCCGAUAAAAAAACUAAAGCAAAUACGAGCUGAGAGAUAGUUUUUCGUCGUGGGCCAACGCGAAGGCGAUUAGGACAAAGUCCCGGUUGAUCUUCUAUGAUCGAGUGUAACGACCCGGCCCGCUAGCAAUAAUAACUCAUUGAGCCCAGGCCGCUGGCCCAAAAUGCUUAAGCUCAGUUAUUAUGUCUAGCUUAGUUAAGUUUAUAUACCUCCACAUUUAGCCAUAACUACUCAAUAUGGGAUUAUUUGGGUGUCACAGACUCCACCCAUUUAGGCCCUGAUGUCCUCGUCAAUUCUAAACACACACACAACCCAUGAUCACAAGGCAAUGUGAGACUUGUUUCACUGGCCUUUCUCAUUGAGAUCCUGACUUAGCCUGUCAUUCAUUGAUCCUGGCUUAGUCUGCCAUUCCAACCCUGGCUCAGCCAAGACUCAUCUUACACUUCUGGCUGGUGAACCGGCUCUGAUACCAAAUACAAUGACCCGACCCGCUAGCAAUAAUAACUCGUCGGGCCCAAAUCAUUGGCCUCGAAUACUUAACCUCAGUUAUUAUGUCUAUCUUUAUCAAAAUUAUAUACCUCUACAUCAAGCCAUAACUACCCGAUGUAGGAUUAUUGGAGUGUCAUGUCGGGUACAGAAAAAAUUAUGGCAGAGCCAAUAAAGAAGGGAAGUGGUAUGCUCAUCUUAGGUGACAGGAGUAGUGGGGGACUGACCCAUAAACAGCUUCAUAAAUUUGGUAUAAGCGAGGUCCGUUUUUGGGUCUAGAAGGGCCUUAAAUUUUGCUAGAACCAUCAAGAUUGUAGGCCAUAGAUAGGGGUGUAAUGUGGGCCGUAUCGGGCCAGCACGACCCACAUUAAGCCGGGCCGAAACAGGUCGGAGGCUAGCCCAGCACUGCUUGGCCACAAAGUCGGGCUGUGUCGUGCUGGGUCGUAGUUCUUUGACCACAACCCAACACGAACCCUGGCCCGGACGGCAUGGGCCGUGCCGGGCGGGGCCAAGCUUCGGGCCAUCCCUUUUUAUUUAUUUAAUUUUAAAUUAAAAAAAUAAAAUAAAUUAAAAUACUAUUUUUUAAAAAUAAUAUAUGAGAAAAAAUUUUAAAUUUUAAAAUAUAUUUAUAAAAAUAAUAAAAUUUUAAAAUUAUUUAAAAAUUUUUAAUAUUUUUGGACCAAAAUACCCUCACAAUAGUCAAAUGGGAGGAUAUUUUGGCCCUAAGAAGACCAAAAGCCCUGCUCCUAAGGGUCUGCUGUAGCAAACCCUUGGGAGAGGCCUAAGGCAUACAACCUGGCUCCCAACUCCCAAAGCAUUGGGAGUUGGGAGCCUUUCGGAGCCGGUCUUUGGCUCCUCUCAGGCCCGGCAUGGCCCAGGCCCGUGUUGUACCGAGCUGUGCCGGGCCAACGGACCGCAGAAAGGUGGCCCAACCCGAUCUGAUUUAUCNGCCGAGCUGGGGCUCCUCUCAGGCCCGGCAUGGCCCAGGCCCGUGUUGUACCGAGCUGUGCCGGGCCAACGGACCGCAGAAAGGUGGCCCAACCCGAUCUGAUUUAUCAGGCCGAGCCAGCCCGGCACGAGUGCUACAGUACUCGUGUCGUGCCUUUGCCCGGCCCAAUAUCCUGCCUGGUCGGGUGGCUCGUGGGCCGCCUGGCUCGUUUUACAAGCCUAGCCAUAGAUAGGAUAGUGCCAUGAGGAUGAAGACCAAGGAUUACUGCCACAUAAAAAUGGUCGGGAUAAAAGGCCCAACCAUAAAUGGAAGGUAUUCGAAGCAGAGGACCAGAAGCAUAACGCCGCAGCAAAAAGGAGAUUGUCGACUUGGGGAGUCUUUGAAAGUUAAAUGGUGUCGUAAAUCCCAAUGUCACGCCAUGAGUCGGCAAAAGAUGCUUUAACUCAAUCUAACUAUGCUAGGUAUGUCUCCGAGAAGCUAGGCCAGGUGCGAAGGCUGUUUCUUGGUGAUUUUGAGGAAAACCAAAAAUGGAAAUGAAUGAUAUCCGGCAUUACAGGAAGCCCUCCCGCUGAGAAAAAAAAUGUUGUUGCUAGAGGGUCCCAAGAAAGAAGGGCCGAGAAUGAAGCAGGAAGGGUCAGCCACAGAUGACUUCAAAAGGUGGAAGUCAACAUUAGAAGAUGAGGAAAAAGAAGGAAUCCGAGCCAUUGGAGAAGGAGGCUUUGGAGAAGAAGGCUCUAGAGAAGAGGAAGAGCAAAAGAAAAAUAGUCGAGAAGAAAAAUAAGGAAGCAGCUUGGAGGAGACAAUAUAGUGUCGUUGGGGGGAGUUUUGAAAAGGAUUUGAUGAUGAUGGCAACAUUUAAUCUCCUAUUUAAUGCCCUAGGUCGCUAGGUAAGACAAAAGGCACCCAAAAUCGUAGUCGUCGAAGAAUAAAAUUAAGUACGGAAUAAUUAAAAGGCGUGGCUAAACGAGGCUGCUGAGCGGAACAAUGAUAUGACCGAAAAGGAUGGUCAAUCUCGACAAUUAAUCCAGCGGCAUCUAAUCUCAGUCAUUAAUCAGGUAACGUCGGUCACCCGAAACACCUAUUCAGGAGACUGCCAGGGGUGUAUUUUUGGCAUCGAGAAAAUAACGCCACAUGGUAAGCGGUUUGGCCCACAUGAUCAAACAGUGAGAACAAAACAACAGGUGACACGUGGUGCAUGCACUAGGAGCCAAGGAGAAGAACGCCUAAACAGAAAAGCGGUUUAGGCGGGAAUAGUUAGAUACGUAGAGGUAGAGUUCCGUGGCCAACAAGGUAUCAGCCGAAGCACAAUCCGAAGAAAUAGGGACAUGGCCGAAAAAAUCUCCACGACAAGAAUCACCCAAUAACUACAGGCGGUAGAAUAUAUUACAAUAAAUAGGAAAAAGCGCACCUAUGAUUAGAGUCCUUCAUAUGAGCAAACGACUACUGCAAAUUUCAAUUUUUUCUUUAGCAUUUAUGACUUUCCGGGAGUAGUUCACAAAUUUUUCUUUUCUUUUAUCAUUUUUUUCGAGAGUUUAGUUAAUUUUAAGAGCUUUUCUAGGACUAAAUUUAGCUUUUCUACCCGCUUUUGUAAUCUCUCUUUUGCAGUUAGUAUAAAUGGUCGGUUCUUUCAGCUAAGCUCGCCUUUCGGUUCACUUGUAGAUAGUUAGCAGAAGAGCCCGAUUGAGUAGAUUCCUUCUCAAUCGAAUCGCUUGACUUAGUAAUGGAGCAUUUGAUAGUCAUUCGAGGAACCGAUUCGCAUUCCAAGGCUGUGUCUGACUUGGUCAAUGCAUUGACCUGGUCAAUGUCGUCCCGCAUUUGGUUUCUAGCCCAAUAGUCUCCAAUGAGUUUCCUACCGGAUUGGAUUGUUACAAAUUCACCCUCUAAUAAAAAUGUAUUAAAUAUGGAAUAAGGUGAAGUUAUUUUAAGAGUUUUGGAACCACUAUCAAUGAAUUUAUCAAAUUUGAAAGUUUCGGGACUAAAAUAUAAUCCUUGACUGAAAAUAUAAUUUUGAAAUAAAGUGAAACUAUUUCAAGAGUUUAAGGACCAUUAUAUAUCCUACACGUGCAAUUUGCCUAUAUAAUAACUAGGGCUGGCAAACGAGCGAGCCGGCUCGCGUUCGACUCGUGUUCGGCUCGAUAUUCGGCUCGCUCGAGCUCGACUCGAAAUUAAAUAAGCCGAGCUUGAACAAAAUAAAAGGCUCGAAAUUCAUUUCAAGCCGAGCUUGAGCCUAGAUUUAGGCUCGAAAUUAAUUUCAAGUCGAAUUUGAGCUGACAUAAGCUCGCUCGAGCUCGGCUCGUUUCCACCCCCUAAUAAUAACUGUGGCACAAAUGGAUUAUGUUUAGAUUCAGAUAUCAAAGGCAAAAGAAUACUAUCCACUGCUGUCAAGACUAACUGUACGCUGCAUCUAAAUUGGCAAACAUGCUUCCCCAAUUAUAUACUUUGCGAAAGCAUAAAAAAUACAAUUAAUGUGGAAGUCACAAUUGCUCUGAAGGCACUUCAAAGUCAGAAAGUAUGUUAGAAUAAAAUUUCUAUUUUUGUUGCUCUUCACGAAAGUUGGGUAGACUUUAGCAACAAAUGGGCAGUAGGAGGUUUAGCUUAUUCUGCACGUCCCCUCAUGUCAGUAUUUCUUCCUCUGUUACUUUCAGUGCUUGACCAAUAUCUUAAUAAAAGAAAAAUUAAAAAAAAAAAUCGAUGACUUUAGAGUGGCCAUAUUUUUCUCAUAGAAUGACAUCAAGGAUGAUAAGAAGAUACUUACUACACAUAAAAUAGGACUAAGAAUAUGGAUGCGUGUGGGGACAAUAGUUUGAAGCUAAUCUUUUGCUAAUAUUAUUUAGGAAAACGUGCGUAAAAACCCUCUGAACUCCAACAGUUUUGUAACCGGUGUGAACUUUUAAUUUUGACAACUCAAUUGUCGAAUAGUACUCCAUCCUUCUCCUCUGUUAAAGUUACUAAUCACAUAACUAUAUUUGUAAUCUUCCAAAACUUUAAAUUACAAAAAAAAAAUAAAAAUCUAUUUCUUCUAUUCUAACACAAAAACAAAUAAAGAAAAAUUGAAAAUGGGUUCCUCCUGUUCUUUAAUCCUAAUGUCUAAUUAUGAUAAUUAGACGAGAAAAGUAUAUUUUCUGUGUUCUUGAAGCUAGACAAAGUUAUAUAUAAAAUAUACAAUCAAAAUGACUAUUUAAUUAGUAACUUUACGUGAGCAGAUUAAUCUACUAAUCUAUAUAUAAAAAAAAAAAAAAUUUAGAAUGUUUGGUUGUUAAAAUGAAAAGUUUAAAAAUUUAUUUGCAAAAGUGCUGAGGUUCAGAAAAUUUUUAAAUAAAUUUUUUUCAAUUAUUUAAUGGUUUGGAGGGUCAUUGAUUCAAUCAUGGGAUCAAGCCGAUGUUUGUUUUGCCCAAAAGUCAAAUCAAUGAAAAGUCAGGUUCCACAGGGCUCUCACGUCAUCGCCAAAUCUAUUGAUUGCUCAAAAGUGAUGGCCGGUGACAAAACGUAUCGAGAACCUCUUUUCAUUUCUUUUUUUUUCUUUUUUUUUUUUCUCAUGUAAAAAAGUACCAUACUAUGAACUAUGAAAAAAGAAAUGUAAACGAAAUAAAUGAGAAAAUAAAUGCUAAACGAAAAGAUUGUAGAGCAAUAAUUAAUCUUGCUCUGCUUCACCUUUUCCCGGUUCUCUCGCUCUCCUGAAACCGUCGCUUGCCCAAAUCCCACCGCAUUAAAAUGUCCCUCUAUUGCGUCCUCCUUUGACAAAUUGCACGAAGCAUCGGCCUAAAAGAGUGGAAGAUAACAGCCACCUUGCUCAGCUAGCUAUUCUUCUCCCACCAAAACCCAUUGCGAAAGGGACCUUCGCCUUUGACCUCGCAUACUUAAAUAAUAAUUUAAAUAUGGAGGAGGCAACAGGCAACAGGCAACUAGGCAAGUGGGUUUUAAGUAUAUGUAAAAUAAUUACAUUACAUAAAAGGAAAGGAAAGGCCAAAAAAAGAAAAGAAAAGAAAAGAAAAGAAUAGCUAUAUAAAUCUAAAUCUUUAUCUUUAUCUUUCCCCUCCCCUCCCACCAUGGCUCUUCCAAAGCUCCCGGCCCGUCUCCUCCUCCUUUUGCUCUGCGUGAUCUCCGCCGUCGUCUUUGCAAGCGCGUACAGAAGUGGCUCCUCCGUCUACGGAGCUCCUCGUCGAAAUCAGGUGCCGGAGCGACACGGCAUUAGGAAGGUCCAUCUUGGUCCGCGCGGUCAUCUCUCCUUCCAGAUUGAAGGGCUGCCGUCGGCGUUCAGCUCCCUCCCUCGAGGGACGCAGAUCCCGCCGUCGGGGCCGUCCAAGCAGCACAACAGCCUCAGUGACUCCACUGCGACCAGCGGGGCUGUCGCGCCAUGACCCAGCAAACACACAUAUAAAUUUAUAAUUAACCAUCUACAUGCAUGUACGUAGGUAGAGAGUUUGUACGUAGCUGCUGGGGAAGUAAUUAAUUAUCCCAAGUAUUGAUUCUUGCACUAAUUACUUGUUGAUUGUCGCAAGAGGGUGCAACAGUGCACCUCGCCAAACAGGUAAGGUAGUUACUUAUUUUUGCUGAUUGGUUGGAGCUUGGAGCGCGGUCUUUUUUCUUUUCUUCUCUUUUCUUUUCUUUUUUUCUGUUCUGUUUCUGUUUCUGUUUCUGUUUGCUUAGUAUUAGUAGUUAAUUUCCAAAGGUUUGCAGUGUAUAAUGAGCUUUCUUCCUUCUCCUUAAUUGUCCUUUCAUCACCGCAGAAGAUGAUACCCAACUCGCAGAUUUUAGUUUUGAAAAGGGUGCAUUCACCUACCGUCCCAAGCGCAAGUGGCAAAGUACUUAAUGGUUGGUACCCGAGAUCCCGAGUUCAAAUUCUAAUUGAUUACAUUUCCAGAUAAGUUUAUUUUUAAAUAAAAUAAACAAAACGGGUAGCAUACAACCUAUCUCUCUCAAAAAAAAAAUUAGGCGGAAAAUUUGAAAUCCCGCAAUUUGUCUAUAUAUAUAUAUAUAUAUAUAGAGAGAGAGAGAGAGAGAGAGAGAGAGAGCGCGUCUGACUAUUAUAGUCUUAUGAGUAUGAUCGUCUUCGUAUUCAUAAGUCGUUUUCGAUAAUAGAGCUUUUAAAUCAACGAUCAUACCGUUAAAUAUUAUUUGGAGAAUUUAAAACUUAUAAAAAUCAAAUUUCAUAAUUUUUCGCUAUCAUUUACUUUACGAUUAAAAAGUCACAAAAUUAAUAAUUUUUUACGGCCGGUAUGGAAUACUUGCUAGUUUAACCAUAUAAAAGAAUUGAAAUAGAUUGAAUUUUUGAUAUAAAAUCUAUUCACUAGCUAGAUAAAGAUAAAUAACUCCUAUCUUAAAUUGAAGGAUCUGAUAAUCCAUUUUUAGUACGUCGUUCAAUUUUGAUCGCUCAUUUUAUACCCGCUUGAUGAACUUUAUUAUGAUUUCAAAAAAUUACAAAACUUAUUUUUAAAAGUUUCAAAUACUUUAGAUCAUAUUUAACGGAGUGUAUCAUCGAUUCGGAAGCUCCAUUAUUGAAAAUAACUUAUGAGUACGAAGAGUUCUAUACUCAUAAGAGUAUAAUAGCCUUACUCAUAUUGUCCUAUCGUCAUCGCAAAAGAUCAUACC
rnacentral:lncRNA from 1 species